CUUGGGCAGAGAGGCUGUUUCCAAAUAGACCUCCGGCAUCCUUCCCUCCAAGAACUGCUCACCUUGCUCUUGGAGAGACUCGAACUCAUAACCUCUUGGUUGAAGUGGGGGUUGCUUACCAUCAGAGCAACCCCUCUUAUGCUAGAAUUAUUCAAAUUUGAAGGCAUAUAAGAAAUAUGUUCAAAACUUAUGCGAGCCGUAGAUAAACUAGUUUUUACAACAGAAUAAGUUAAACUUACCUGAUAGCGGGUUUGAAGUUACACCAUGUACAAUACUCUUAGAAACGUGCACAUCCGCAAUAAUGAUAUGAUACAAGAUAUUUUACUAGAGGAAGUUUUCAUUUGCAGUAAUUCAUUUUCUAAGGAAAGUGAAAAACUAAAUUACUAAAGUAUGAGCUAGAGAAGGAAAAAUUUGUCAUCAUAACAAGUAAAGAGAUGCAUUCAUGAAAGACCAUGCACUUCUUGAUAUAGAAGUGAAAAAAAUGUUAGGAAGUUCCCUGACUGAAUAAUCCGCAGAAUAAAAUGCAUUUAUGAUCUCCCAUCCGCGCCAGCUCUAAUAUAAUGAGCGGUAAGGCAUGGUCCUUAGGUCCGCAAAUUUGGAGGGGGGGGGGGCAUUUUUCAAAAGGAAUAGGCUUAUAGGUAUUUAAAAAAUGAUAUUUAGUACUUUUAAUACAAAAUUAAAGUUUUUAAUAUAAGAGAAAGUAGAGCUCUUUAGAUAUGUAAAUAAAGUAAUAAUUUGACAUAUUCAAAAUGGAUAGAUGGAUAGUUUUCUCAACAUUUCAGUUUUACUCCUUCAUUAGAUAAUGUAUAAAAAAAUUUACUCUCCCUUUCUUAAUAUGUCCUAGUCAAUCUUUCUUACUCACUUGCUUUCUCCAAUAUUUCAUUAAUACUCACUUUCUUUCUAGAAGAUUUUAUUAGCUCUACUAUUCAAUAAUACUUUUAAAUUUCCAAUAAUUCUAUACUUCUAUUGAUCUAUAAAGUAUUACUAUCUAAUAUCAACUAUUUCUCAAGAAAGAUUAAAUGAGAUGGCUAUAUUAGCAAUUGAAUAAAGAUAAUUAGAGAAAGUCCAUUAUAAAAAAGAUUGUUAACAACUUUAUAUUUCAAAAGGUUAGAAGAAUAUACUUCAAAUAAAAACGUAUGUUAUAACUUUCUUUUAAAAAAUUUAGGCCCCAUAUUAAACUUUGGACUUAGGCUCCGCAUAUCCUUGAGCCGCCCAUGUCUCCCAUAUUAUAUUAAUUUGUGGGUCAAUCAAUUUCAACAUCACACAACAGAACUAAUUUCUAAUUGGAAUCUGGAAAAGCUUUGCGUUAAAUAAAGGAGCUUCUUACUACAACACUGAGUAAUCUGUAUCAAGAAGCAAAACAUCUAAUGGUCUUCCCUCGAAUGUCAAAACUUUUUAGAAAAGAGAAUAAAUUUCAAGCUAGAUUGUCCGUAAGAGUUUCAUAACUGGUUCAAGCAAUAACUACAACUGAAAAAAUCCAAAUUCUACUGCUACUGAGAUAAAGAAAAUAAAUGAAAUUAAGAGGAAAAGAAAAAAAAUCACCUUUAGACGACAAUGACAUUCUGAGGUUGAUUCGCCAAAUUGGAUACUUCACUUUAGAAAUUCCCAAGACAUAAUGCAAUACCAACAAAUCGUAUUCCUAGCCUGAAAACACCUAAAUAAAAAAAACUACUCAAAUUCAAACAAUGGAGCAACACAAAAGUCAUAAUCCGUGGUUCAAAAAUCAGAGCAGGAGCCAUAAAUUUAGAAGAAGAAUAAUACUUACAUAAUUUAACAAAUAUUGACAAAAAAUUGAGAGAGAGCGCAUCUAUAGGGAAGCAGUUCAGCCGAAGUGUUGAAAAGCUACAAAAUGUAACUAAUAUGGACAAAAAAUUGAGAGAGAGCGCAUCUAAAGGGAAGCAAUGCACUAGAGAAGAAGCAGUUCAGCCGAAGUGUUGAAAAGGGAAAACCUAGGGCUAGAGGCAUAAUGGAACUAACAACCACAACAACAAACCAUAUUUACGCAGAGGUUACCUUUACCUUGGUUAGACAUACUGUUUUCAAAUAGACCCGGACACUGAAACUCACAAAAUAUUGGAGAGGAGGGAAAUAUUUUGGAAAAGGAGGGAGAACAUACCGCGUUUACUUUUCGAGCAAAAAGAAAAUGGAAAAUUAAGGCAACAAAUAAGUUUUUGAAAAAAUUAAGUAUUUUUCCAACAAUAAAAAUAAUAUUUUUGAACAUAAUAAAAUUGCUAAAAUCCUAGAUAAAAUAAAUGUAACAACUAGUUACGGAUGUAUUGAUAUAGUACUAAUUAUUUAAAAUUUUAAUUAAUGAAAUAUGAAUAUCUUUUGAUAUGUUUAAAUCUAAAUAUAUUUUUUAUCUUUUGAAUUUCCGGGAACAAUUAUCCAGUUAAAAGCAGUUCUCCUUUAAUCCAGUAAAUAAAAGAAGUUUAACCCUUUUAGAAAUUCAUUUACAAAUUUAUGUGAUUUAAGCAAAUUAAUGAUGUGAAUAAGCUUACAAAUAAUCCACGCAAAGCAUGUUUUUGGGUCCUAGACUAUCCGGACAAUAGCAUAUAGUAGCUAAGCACAGACUCCCGUCACCUCGUGCAUACGUAGCCCUCCCCCUCCCCCCAAAUACGACACAUAACCAAUUAACUCGCCUAUGAGGACAAAUCCUCUUACAAGGUUAGAAAGGAUACUCACUUCGCCUCGAAGAUCCAUAAUCGGCAUUCUACAUUCUUCCGAAGACUUGAACCAACACACAAUGCUCCAAAACUAGCUAACGAUUAUACUUUACAACCCAAUUUAUAAUAAUUUCUAACCCCGAACGAAAAGUUGACCAAAACGCACUCGGGGACAUGUGCCCGGAAUUCAAAAUAUUUCGAAGAUAAAGAUUACCCAUGACCUUAGGAACUCAAAUAUAUAAUUUACUCCUGAUUUCAUGCUCAAAUUCGCAGUGAAAUCCAAUUUAUCAAGUUUACAAGUCUUCUUCCAAAAUUUCCAAUCUUUCCAAAAAUUUUAUGCCUAAUUAUAAUCUUGUAUUUAACUUGGAAAUGAGUAGAAGUAGCUUACCUUAACAUAGAUGACGGAAGUACUCCUUUAAGCUCUCCAAAAUCGCCCCCGGGCCAUGAAAAUAUGGUGAGAAAUGACAAAAAAUUGGAUUUUAAAACAUUCUGCCCCAGCUACUUUCUACUCAUGCGGUUUACAGACCGCUUCUGUGGUUCCGCAGGUGCGAUCCCCAUACCGCAUCUGCGGUCUUACCCCUUUGUUUCCCUUUUCGCUUCCGCGCUUCCCACAUCAGCGGAACCAACCCCCUUUCUAAAUAUCGCAUAUAUGGUCUUCCUAGCCGCUUGUGCCGCUCCGCACCUGCGGCCAAUUCUUUGAGGGUGCGAAAAUACCAGAUAUCAGGUGCUUCGGCUCUUCUUCAACUCCCAUUUUGAUCCGUUGGCCACCCGAAAUCCACCAGAUGCCCCCCAAGUCCCCAGCCAGAUAUACUAACCAAUCCCAAAAUAUAUUACAGACUUGCUUGAGGCCUUAAAUCACAUCAAACAACGCUAAAAUCAUGAACUAACCUCCAAUUCAUGCUUUAAGAACUUUAGAAUUUUCAACUUCAACUUUCGAUGCCGAGACCUAUCAAAUCAUGUCCGAUUGACCCCAAAUUUCGUGCAAAAGUCAUUUUGACAUUACGGACCUACUCUAACUUUCAGAAUCGAAUUUCGACCCCGAAUCCAAUUGACCCCAAAUUUCGUGCAAAAGUCAUUUUGACAUUACGGACCUACUCUAACUUUCAGAAUCGAAUUCCGACCCCGAUAUCAAAAAGUCCACUUCCGGUCACACUUCUCAAAACCUUUAAGUUUCUAUCUUUCGCCAAAUGGCUCCAAAAUGUUCUACUGACCUCCGAAUUCAUUUCUGACUGUGCUCAAAACUCCAAUCACCAUACAGAGCUACUCCCAGUCUCAGAAUCCCAAACGGACAUCAAUAAUGAUGAGAUUCACUUCAAGCCAAACUUAUGAAAUUCCUUCCAAAAUGCUAACUUCCACAAUGGGCGCGAAAAUAUUGUCGGGUCAUCCAAAACCCGAUCCGAGCACACGCCCAAGUUUGAAAUCAUCAUACGAAUCUGCUGGAACCUUCAGAUCCUGAUUCCGAGGUCGUUUACUCAAAAUUUCAUUCUUGGUUGAUUCCCGCAACUUUAGGCCUUCAACAUAAAAAUUCUCUUCCCAAAUCAACUUUGAACUUCUCGAAAUUCAAUUCCGACCACACGAAUAAGUCUUAAUACAUGUGAUGAAGCUAUUUAUGGUCUCAGACUGCUGAACAUUGCGCUAGAGCUCAAAUCGACCAGUCGGUUCGUUACAGGAUGGCUAAUUGGAAUUGAAUAGGUGUACAAGGCCAACCACAAGGCAACUAGACAACGGAGAAGUAGAUGAUUUUAUAGAACAAGAAAAUAAGUUAUUGAUAUUUUGAAGAGAUGUAUCAUAGGUAAAGCCAAAAUCAACUAUUAUUAGUUUUGAAGAGAAGAUGAAAUUGACCAAGGAUUGCGCUUCUAAUUUUGUUGAUGCAACAUAUUUUAGAAAAUUGAUGAGGGCCUAAAAUAUUUGACUUCUACAAGGUUUAAUGUUACUUGCGGUAUGAUCGAGUUUGAAGAUCUUGGUUUAAGGAAGACUGUUGGAAACUAAGCCGAGAUUAUUUGGUAUUCCUAAGCUAUAUGGGAUUUGGUGUUUGUAACUCUAUUUAAUUCUAUUUAAUUAGGAUUCACAGUCGAAACCAUGUAGGAGUAGAUUUUCUAAAUUCUAGUCAAAUUUGAUUUGUAGUAUUAUAAAUGAAUAAUUAACCUAAAUAGCCGCUCACCGAUUAUUUAAACUAAAAAUUACCGGUGGAGGUAUAAUAUAAGCAUAAUUUAUGUAUUCUAAGGUGGAGAUUGGAGAGGUAGCUUCGAUGUAGAGAUAUUCAAGAAUUUAUAAGUGAAUAAAAAAUUCUCGUUCUCUAUAUAGUUUGAUAAGUUUUUUCUAUAUAUUCUUUAUUGAAUUUUUUACUUGUGGCUAAAUUAUUCGACGAGGUAUUUCAAUACUUAAUUAGCUAAAGAAGAAUAUAGAAAAUAGAAAAUUAUUUGAAGACAAUCAAAGAAAAACUAAUAACUAAUAUACGAAGAUAAUGAAAACCUCUGUUUUUGUGUCUCACUUUUUGUAGGAGUAUAAUGUUGGGGAAAAGACAAAAAAUGACAAUGGCUAAAAAUUGGCAUAAAUUACAUUAAUUUAUAGAAAUUUAACUAAAAUGUGCAGUUUGAUUAGAUUUUCAAAAGAUGGUAAAAAAUGACUAAAUAUUGCACGAGUUAGUGGCCUCCAAUAUGUAUCGAAUGGCAAAUAUUUUGAAGACAGUUAAAUUUUGUAUUUCUAGAGGUUAUCGGAAACUUCCACAACGAGUUAGUGGCCUCCAAUUUGUAUCGAAUGGCAAAGAUUUUGAAGACAAUUAAAUUUGUAUUUCUAGAGGUUAUUGGAAACUUCCACAAUAAAACUGACACAAUACGAAUAAUUUUGUGAAAGUUAGAAUAAACGCCAUAAAUUGAAAAUAUGGUGGAGGUCUUUUACAACCCCCUCAAAUAAACCACCACAAAAAGAAUUAUUAUGCAGGGGUUGAUGCAAACACCACAAAAUAAAAUAUAUAGUGGGAGUUUCUUAUAACUCCCAUAAAUUAACUGCCACAGUUUAGCAAUUUUUUUGUAGUGUUAAUACCAUGACUUGAUAUGUAUUAGUAAUAUAUAGGAUAAUACCAAAUAGGUUGUAUAACUAAUACUUGCAUUAGUAAUGCAUAGGUUGAAAAAGUGUAUCAAAGAAGGGAUUGUUAGUACCAAAAGCUAAUGCAUGCCUUAUUUUCUUUAAUGCAUUCCACCAAACGAUCUCUUAGACUUUCCUAUAACAUUGUUAUAUAAUAAUUAUUCACUAUAAAGUCAAGUUAUACUAUAAUAUAUGUUCUAUGUAAUAACACUUUACAAUAGCAGUCAAAUAAAUUCUGAACAAAUAAGGUUUCUAUAGAAAGUUUGAUUGUACAUGUAUAUAAUUUUGGGUUAUUUUUGAAUUUUUAUGAGUGAUUUGAGUGAAAAUUUAAAAAAAUAAUUCUUUUUGAGUGAUUUGAAUGAUUUUCAAAAUUUUUAAAAUUUAUCUUCAACUGAAUAUGGCCAAACACUAAUUAUGAAAAAAGGUUCAAUUUUUUGAAAAAAGUAAAAAAAAUUCCAUGGAUAAACGGGCCCAAUCGUUUGGUUGUGUUGCUUGUGUAUAGAAGCAACUAAUUUCAACAUAAAAUUUCAUACAAAAUAGUAUAAUAUUUGAUUGAUCGUAUCAGAAAAGAAUAAUCCAUCACCAACUAAUACUUACAACAUAAUAGAGAGUAUCAGUAAGAGAAUUUUUCAUAAAACACCAUCUUUUAGGUCUAAUUAGGUAUUUAUAGAUAUCAUUUGUUAUAUUACCUAUUAUAGAUACUUUUUAUAUUUUUAUACAGUGUAUUUUAUGUAUUUAAGUUAUUGUAUUCAUUAAUACAACAAAAAAUAGGCGUAAAAAGUGAAAUUCUAGCUAAGUUUUACAUGUAUUUAGCUGUACUCAAGCGACAUUAACAUUAAAUACAGUAAUGUAUCUACGCAAAAUCUGAAAGGUUAAAUUGGUUAAAAAUGGAAGGAAAUCAAAUCACAUGAUAUUCUCCUAAUUUAACUCAACGAACUAAGACGAUCCAUCAUUAAUCUAUAUUUGAAAGAUACAUAAUAAAGAUUAUAGCCGAAUAAAGAGGAAUACAUUUGAAUAAUACAGUUGACUAUAAAUGUAUAAAGUUGAAUACAACAAAAUACAAGUUAAUUCAUAUGAAUAAAAUACUCGAAUACAACAAAAUACAACUGAAUAUAGCUGAAUAAAACUUUUGAAUGCAACAAAAUACAACUAAUUUCUGCUAAAUAAAAUAGUUGAAUACAACGGAAUACAGUUGUAUAAAACACUUGAAUACAACUAAUUACUGCUGAAUAAAAUAGUUAAAUACAACAGAUUAAAACUGAAUACUAGAGAAUACGCAUAAUUUUUUAAUACAUCUAAAAUAUGCUGAAUACAUGUGAAUACAUCUGAAAUAUUCAUUCGAAUACAACUGAAUACAAAUAGGUGAUUUGGGCGAUUUAGAGAGAGAAACAACCUUAUGGCUUCGCCUCCCGGCGGCCAGCCAUUAAUUCCGACUGUUCAGCCCCUAACACAUCUGCCCAACCUCCCACAACAACUAAAAACAAUCCCCAGCCCUCAAAUCCCACAACGAAGCCAUGAAUUACGCAAAAGUUGUGAGCCCUACUUCGACAACCAUUGCCAUGCAUAAUCGAGCUGCUACAGUUGAACCAAUUACUCUUCACCUAUCAAAAUGAACGAAUUAAACUUACCCUAAGCGAUUUUAACGAAAUGAUAAUGGAGGAGAACUAGAGAAUUUGGGUGGGAGAAAGGUAUGAAUCACGGGUUGAGGGAGAAAGAGUAAAGUGUAUGCAAAAAAAAAAGAGAGAGAACGUGGUUAGUCAAUUUUACGGUGAUUAUGUGAGAAAAAAUACUAAAAAGGAGAGAGAAAAAUAUUAUUUAGCAUAUAUGGUGCCUUAAAUGUAGGAUGUAACUGAGAGAAAAGACUAAAAGGAAGAGAGAAAAAUGUUAUAUAGCAUAUAUAGUGCCUUCAAUGUAGGAUGUAACUAUAAUUAGAUAUUUGGCUAUAAAGUAUAAAAGGUAUCUAUAGGAUGUACUAUAUUAAAAUGGUAUUUACUUAAAAUAAAUAGGGUACUAAGGUUUUCUAUAGGGUGUAAAAAUUCCUAUAAAUAACGAGAUUACUACCAAAGUCCAAAAAACGAAAUGUAACAAAGCAAAAAGGGGAAAAAUUUAAAAAUAAUCAGAUUUACAAGUGUUCGUUAAAAAAUAGCCAGUUUUAAAAGUAAUCGAAAUUUACUCAUUUUUCAUGUAAAAAUAAAUCUGCACGAAAAUAUUGUUCAAAAAUAAAAAAAUACUAUAGCAUAAUAUAAUAAAAUUUUAGUAUAAUAUAUUGAUUUAUCAUAAUAUAAUGGAAUUCGAAUAUGAGAAAUUUUUGAAAACCGCUAUAUUUUAGUAAUUAUUAGCUUGCUACACGUAAAAUUUCUUCGAAAUGUUGGUUUCAGUUCGACCCGAUUUAGACUCGGAAUGAGCUAUUGAAAUAAGGCCCAAUUGAUUAGGGCACAAUAUAUAAGAAGUGGCGAUAACAUGAAAAUAGCAAAAAUCUCAUUGGUUUAAGUCUGAGGCAGCGGUGAAAGGGCACAAUAUAUAAGAAGUGGCGAUAACAUGAAAAUAGCAAAAAUCUCAUUAGUUUAAGUCUGAGGCAGCGGUGAAAGAAGAGAUUUGUAGGGAGUUUUAAUGGGUGGUUUUGCCCCUCUCAUUCUCCGCUGCCAAUGAUCACUCAAAUGAAAAUUUUCUGAUUGCAAAACUACUCUAGGUUGAUUGAUUUAUUACUUCCUCUGUUCCAAUUUAUUAAUGGCUAUGAAGAUUGUUAUUUGUGAAAAAGACAGACUUACAAAUCUAUUGAGCUGGAAAAAACUGUAUCUUGGCAUGGCAGCUCAGAUAUGUCUAUGAGAUACAACAACAACAACAACUACACAGUAUAUUGUUGGUCUAUGCGAUUGCGUAGAGCUCUGAGAUACAACAACAACAACAACUACACAGUAUAUUGUUGGUCUAUGAGAUAAUGGAGAAAAUCCAUUUUUCGGGUGUUUUUUCCUGUCUCAUAAGGCUAACUUAUGCCUGCAGCCAUGGAAGUUUUUUCCAAAGCUUUUUGGAUUUUGUCUGAGAAAAGGCGAAUCUGAGCCUACCCCAUUGCUAUUGAUUUUGGUUUUUGGUUUUUGCUUUUUGCAUUUUUCUCUGCUACUUGUUGACAUAGGAAACAAUCCGAGCUCAUACCUCAAUUUAACUUUUGGUUCACUUUUGAUACUGUAACUCUUGGAGAAGCAUUGUGGAAAUAAUUCUUAGCUUGAAGGUAUUCAUUUCAGUCUAAAACUAGUUUGUUUUUCCAAAAUGUUCUGGAAUAAUUUCUCCAAUGUUUUCAGUAUCUGAAUUUUAGUAAUUGAACGAUUAAUGGUGAUGGUAGCAAAAAUAAUUGAUGUAUCUGAAUUUUAGUAAUUGAACGAUAAAUGGUGAUGGUAGCAAAAAUAAUUGAUGGCCAAAGAUCAAAUACAAAUCCUCUUCUUUUGGAGUUCUAGGAAUGUGAAUGCUAAGUUCUAUUUUAGAAUUUACUUUAUUGGAAAGAUGUGCUUCUUGAUAAUUUAGCGUAUUGGAAAGAUGUGUUUUGAUAUGGGUGUGCCUAAAGAUGUUUUCUUUACACUAUAAUUCUAAGAAUCAGAAUGCAAACAAGUAAAAUCUAUUUUUGAGUUUCUUUGUUGGUAAAUAUGUUUUUUUUAUUUGCACCGGGUGUCCGAGUCUCUUCGAGUCCGACUAAUCCUGGGAGUGCACAUGCCCUGUGCAAGGAGUUUCCCGCAAGUGCAUCACAGUUAGGUUUUACCCAGUCCGAUGGCCCUCAUAAAUUGUUUGCACCCAGUGGGUUUCGAACUGGAGACCUUGAAAAGGAGCAAACCCCAAGGCUCAAGUCAAUUGCCACCAGGACAACCCCUGAGGGUAAAUAUGUUCUUUUUGAUACUUAAUCCUAUUUUCGACUUGUUUUUAAAAUCUAAUGAUUGGGUAUGCGCUUGCUCUGAGAUGGGUGUGCCUUAGUAUUUUUCUUUGUCGAAUCAUAGGCAUCAUAUGCUAAAGAGGUACUUUCGGAUACUUUAGUCCUUACGUUUUCUGUUUUUAUAUUCUAAAGAGGUACUUUUCGAUAUUUUAGCCCUUAUGUUCUCUGUUUUCGGACUCUUAAAAGAAUCAAAAUACCUGCUUCUUUGACAUGGAUAUGCCUAAAUGUGUUUCCUUUUGUCUAGAAAUCUAGGCAUUUGAAUACUAAUGUCUAUUUUUGGGUUACUUAGUUGCUGAGAUAUUUUUUCCCGACUAAUCCUGAUUGGUGAAGUCCAUGAUCUCAUCAGCAUUAUCGUGUAAUUCGAUUACUCAACUUUAAAAACAAUGUAUUGCCACUGCAUCUAUUUAUGCAGGAGCUCUGCAGUUGGUGUUACAAGUUAAAAGCUAAAAUCAUAGACCUUUACAAGGAAGGUAAUACAUCUAUGAGGAACCUUCACGCCUCUUUUCUCGGUGCUCCUUUUCUCUCUCUUGACAUCAGGAUAUUUCUUCUAAAUCCAAAACAAAUUUUGUCCUUCACACAUCUCUCUCUUCAAGGAUCAAGCAGCCACCGAAAUUUUUUCUGGGUAAGAUUUUGAAAAUUAUACUUGGAAUUCUCCAUCUUGUUUCCACUUCUCUAAUGGUAAAUUUCAGUUUCGCGUUUAGGGUAUAAAAAAAACCCUUUUGAAGUACGAUUGAGUAGGUAGUAUAAAUAACCAGAUUACCAAAUUCUACUACGGAAGCAAUCCACCCGAUUAGGCGGUUGGUGGAACAAUAAAGGGAGAGGAAGAGGGAUUUGCACAUGGUGUUUAUUGACCUAGAGAAGGCGAAUGACAGGGUCCCUAGGGGCGUUCUAUGGCGUUGCCGGGAAGUGAAAGGGUUGCCUAAGCAUACAUUGAAACGAUAAAGGAUAUGUAUGAUGGAGCUAUAACUCGGGUUAAGACUGGGGGAGUGGGACACCGAGAUUUUCCCGGUGAUUAUGGGGUUACACCAAGGAUCUGCACUUAGCCCUUUUUUAUUUGCUUUGACGAUGGAUGCCUUGACACACCAUAUUCAAGAGGAGGUGUCAUGGUGCAUGUUGUUCGCUGAUGAUAUAGUUUUGAUCGAUGAGUCGCGUAGCGGUGUUAAUGAGAGAUUGGAGGUGUGGAGGCAGGCUCUGGAGUCCAAAGGGUUCAAGUUGCGUAUGACCAAAACGGAAUAUUCGGAGUGUAAGUUCAGCGGCAUGUCGGGGGACGCGGACGGGGUGGUGAGGCUCGACUCACAAGUUAUCCCCAAGAAAGAAAGUUUCAAGUACCUAGGGUCUAUUAUCCUAGAAGAUGGGGAGAUCGACGGGAUGUCACACACCGUAUUGGGCGGGGUGGAUGAAAUGACGGUUAGCAUCUGGAGUCCUGUGUGACAAGAGGGUACCAUUGAAACUCAAAGGUAAGUUCUACAGAGCAGUUGUUAGGCCAGCUAUGCUUUAUUAAUCUAUAUUUGAAAGAGAUGAAAUGACGGUUAGCAUCUGGAGUCCUGUGUGACAAGAGGGUACCAUUGAAACUCAAAGGUAAGUUCUACAGAGCAGUUGUUAGGCCAGCUAUGCUUUAUGGGGCUGAGUGUUGGCCAGUUAAGAAUUCACAUAUCCAGAAGCUGAAAGUAGCCGAGAUGAGUGUGUUGAGAUAGAUGUGCGGGCAUACUAAACUGGAUAAGAUAAGGAAUGACGUUAUUAUGGAGAUGGUGGGCGUUGCUCCCGUGGACGACAAGCUGCGGGAAGCGAGGCUUAGGUGGUUUGAUACGUGGUGAGGAGAACCAUAGAUUCCCCGGUCAGGAGGUGCGAGCGGUUGGCUUUAGCAGGUACGAGAAGAGGCUGAGGGUGGCGUAAGAAGUAUUGGGGCGAGGUGAUCAGGCAAGACAUGGCGCGUCUCGAGAUUUUCGAGGACAUGGCUCUUGAUAGGAAUGUGUGGAGGUCGAGCAUUAAGGUUGCAGGCUAGGGGUAGUUUAUAAUUUUUCCCUCUUUGAAGCGGGUAGUCUGAUAGAGUUUUGCCUAUGUCUGGUAGCAGUAUAGGUUCUGUUCACACUAUUCUGUUAUUUUGCAUAUUAUUACAUUAUUGCACUCCUCUCUCACUUAUUUGGUCUAUUUUACGAUAUUAUUAUCACUGUUCUUGCUUCUUUUGUUGUUAUAUAUCUCUUCUUUCAUUUCUUUUCUGACAUUAUUAUCUUUUCAUGCGAGCCGAGGGUCUCAUGGAAACAGCCUCUCUAUCCUUACUAGGUAGGGGUAAGGUCUGCGUACCUCCCCAGACCCCACUAGUGAGAUUUUACUGGGUAUGUUGUUGUUGUUGUAACCAGAUUACCAAAGUCCAAAAAACGAACAAAAAGUUCUAAAGAAAUGUAACAAAGCUCGGAAGAGAGAGAAUGAGGCUACAGAGAAUUGUAGGAUUUUUCAUUGAAAGGGCGGUUGCCUUUCUCUGCAUUAUUAGCCUAUGAUUUCUCAAACUGUCCCAACAGCCCUUUUAUUGCGAUUUUAGAGCCGCUGUUGAUACAUAAGGAGAUUUGCACAAAUAGUAUCGUUUGAAUCUUCAAUGCAGUAUGCCUUUUUUCUUUCUUUCUCUCUUUUACGCUUUUGUCGAAGCAUUUAAUGCUGCCGGUGCUGCCGGUGGAAGUGGUGGUGGUGAGUAUAAUCGACGGUGUAAAAGAGGCGAUGAUGAUUUUAAAAAAAAUUCAAUUUCCUUCUGAGCUCAUUAAUUAAUCGGGGCGUUUUGAGAUAAUCCGACCCGUAUCUUGGCGGGGCAUUGCCCGGUUGGUUUUUGCAGCCAUGGCGUCGCCGGGCUCUCUUUUUGCCUGAGCAUAAACACAGAUAUGAGCCUUAAUUUCACUCCAUUUUCCGGCAAAAUCGAGUUGUAUGUCUUUUCGCUCAAAAGCCCUAAUCAUGUUUUUUCCCAAUGAUUUGAAACGGUGGAUCUGAAUAUUGGUUUCAGUUCGACCCGAUUUAGAUUCGGAAUGGGCUUUUGAAAUAAGGCCCAAUUGAUUAGGGCACAAUAAAUAAGAAGCAACAAUAACACAAAAAUAGUAAAAAUCUCAUUAGUUUGUCUGAGGCAGCGGUGGAAGCAGAGAGCUGUAGGGAGUUUCAAUGGGUGGCUUUGCCACUCUCUGUCAUUCUCCGCCGCCAAUGAUCACUCAAAUGAAAAUUUUCCGAUUGCAAAACCACCAUUAGUUGAUUGAUUUAUUACUCUCUCUGUUCCAAUUUAUUAGAGGCUAUGAAGAUUGUUGUUUCUGAAAAAGACAGACCUAUAAAUCUAUUGAGCUGGAAAAAACCAUAUCUUGUAUCUUGGUAUUACAGCUCAGAUAUGUCUAUGAGAUACAACAACAACAACAUGUAGGCAGGCCUUACCCUAUAUUAUUGGUCUAUGGGAUAAUGGAGAAAUCCAUUUUUUGGGUGUCUUUUCCUGUCUCACAAGGCUAACUUAUGCUUGCAGCCAUGGCAGUUUUUUCCAAAGCUUUUCGAAUUUUGUAUGAGAAAAGGCGAAUCUGAGCCUACCCCAUUGCUAUUGAUUUUGGUUUUUGCUUUUUGCUUUUUGCUUUUUUCUCUGCUACUUGAUGACAUGGGAAACAAUCCGAGCUCAUACCUCAAUUUAACUUUUGGUUCACUUUUGACUUUUGGAGAAGCAUUGUGGAAAUAAUUCUUAGCUUGAAGGUAUUCAUUUCAGUCUAAUACUAGUUUGAUUUUCCAAAAUGUUCUUGAAUAAUUUCUCCUUAGCUUGAAGGUAUUCAUUUCAGUCUAAUACUAGUUUGAUUUUCCAAAAUGUUCUUGAAUAAUUUCUCCAAUGUUUUCAGUAUCUGAAUUUUAGUAAUUGAUCGAUAAAUGGUGAUGGUAGCAAAAUAAUUGAUGGCCAAAGAUCAAAUAAGAAAGCAAACAACAGAUUCUCUGCUUUUGAAGUUCUAGGAAUGUGAAUGCUAAGAUCUAUUUGAGAAUUAACUUAUUGCGAAAGAUGUAUUUCUUGAUAUUUUAGCCUAUGUUUCUCUGUUUAUUAACUCUCUGUGUUGAAUGAUAAUGCUGAUAAUGCUGCUUCUUUGAUAUGGGGGAUGUGCCUAAAAGUGUUUUCUUUUCAGAAUUAAACAAGUAAAAUCUAUUUUUGAGUUUCUUUGUUGGCAAAUAUGUUCUUUUUGAUACUUAAUCCUAUUUCCCCACUUGUUUUUAAAAUCUAAUGAUUGCGUAUGCUCUUGCUCUGAGAUGGGUGUGCCUUAGUAUUUUUCUUUGUCGAAUCAUAGGCAUCAUAUGCUAAAGAGGUACUUUCCGCUACUUUAGUCCUUAUGUUCUCUGUUUUUAUAUUCUAAAGAGGUACUUUCCGAUAUUUUAGCCCUUAUGUUCUCUGUUUUCGAACUCUGAAAAGAAUCAGAUACUUUAGCCCUUCUGUUCUCUGUUUUCGAACUCUGAAAAGAAUCAAAGUACCUGCUUCUUUGACAUGGAUGUGACUAAAUGUGUUUCCUUUUGUCUAGAAAUCUAGGCAUUUGAAUACUAAUGUCUAUCUUUUGGGUUACUUUGUUUUUGAGAUAUUUUUUUCCGACUAAUCCUGGUUGGUGAUGUCCACUGCAUCUAUUUAUGCAGGAGCUCUGCAGUUGGUGUUACAAGUUAAAAGCUAAAAUCAUAGACCUUUACGAGGAAGGUAAUACAUUUAUGAGGAAGUAAGCUCGUUGUAUAAGCAAAUUUUGCAGUUGUAACUUGUUUUGUGAAUACCCACUAAUUGUGUAUAUUGAGUUCGUGCUGAUUGGUUUUUCGUGAGAUUGCUUGUUUUUAUUGGUUUUUUGGCACACUUUGUGAUUGACCUAAAGAAGUCAUACUUCUUGCUCCUCUCCUUCAGUUGUAUUGUUUAUUCUGUGCAUGAAGGAAUUCAUCCUAAAUGAUGAGUAAUUGAAGUAAGCUAUGGAUUAACAUCCAAAUGAAGCUUGUUGUCAUAGUUACUCUGAUAGAUGAUGAGAUACCUUUAUAGCUCUAUUUUUUUGUUACAUCCUUCAUUAGGUCUAAUUUUUUUUGUGGUACAUCCUUUAUUAGCUCUAUUAUUUUGGGGUACAUCCUUUAUUAGCUCUAUGUUAUCACAACUACUGGUCUAAAUAGAUAGUUUUCCGUGGUGUAUUUUAAAGUGGUGCACUAAGCUACCGCUAUGCGCUGGGUCCGGGGAAGGGCCGGACCACAACGGUCUAUUGUACGUAAUUUUUCCCUGCAUUUCUGUAAGAGGUUUUAUGUGGUGUAUUUUAUGCUUUAUUUUAUCGAGUUUUGUUAUGUGUUAUCCUAGAGUUUUUUUUUCCUUGAUGAAGAAUUUAUACGGUUGUAGAUAACGAGAGAUACAAUGCUGGUCUUUUCUAAACUGUUGCUGUUUACUUGGAUUUUAAGGAAGCAUUUUACCUCCCAAAAUUUGUCAGCAAGUUUUCAUGAAGAUUUUAGAACACCAGUUAAGUGACAUAAGCAUGGUUUUCUAUUGUGUUGAAAGGGUCUUAACAACAACAACUACCCAGUAUAGUCCUACAAGGUGUCUGGGGAGGGUAAUAUGUAGAUGGGCUUUACCCCUAUCCGAAAGGGCAGAGAGGCUGUUUCCAAUCGACCCUCGGCUCAGUAAAGGAUUGAAAGGGUCUUAACAUUAUUAAAUUUGAGAACAAUUGUAUGUUUAAUGCAAAAAGAAAAUUGUAAUUAAGGAAACUUUGCCCAGGGGAUCUGUUUUUGUUGACUCCCUCUUUUCCCUCUUUUCCUUUUCGUAUUAUCAAUCCGUGUUAAGUACUUGUAAGCAAAUGUUUUAUUAAAAAUUAUAUUAUGACUAUAAAACUAAAGCUUAUCUAUACGUUGUUAGUUGAAUUGAAACUUUUAGCAAUCCCAAAAUUAAUAGCAUUAACUCAUAAGUUGGAAAUUUUAAGCUUGAAACAAAAGAAUGAAAAUACAUCGUAAAGCUGACUCUAUUAAAGCAGGAGCUUGCCCAUGAAUUUAGUGACUUGAUAUAAGCAUUUAAUAUUUUGCCCAUAAAUUUAAAUUGCAUAAUAAUCAUAUCGAUAUAAGAUAAUUUUGACUCUACAUGUUCCAAGACGUAAUCGACAAAGUUAGAUCAGUUACAAACACAACAAAUGGUAAAGAGUGAGAGACAUCAUUGUGUCACAUGUCGCAUUAUUAUAAGUUGAGCUGUAAUUCACUUAGGGUGGUUUGGUUGAAAAUGAGUUAUCUCAUAGUUAAUUAAAAAUAUUAUAAUUUUAGGACAAAUAAUUUCAGUAUUAGUUAUAUUAUGAUUUUAUAAAUAUGAGAUAAAUUUAUUUUAAAUUUAGUUAUAUAAUUGAUUAUCCCUUGUCUCUCGUACCAAAUGAGUCCGUAAAGUCUUUUAAGGCAAGAGGAGUUAAAUCAUUUUAAACUUAUAAUUAAUAACUUGGAUGAGUUAGAACAAGUUGCAAUAUUAUAAAUUGAGUUAUAAUUCGCUUAAAGUGUUUUAGGGCAAAAGGAGCUAAAUAAUUUCUAACUAAAUGAUGAUUCAGUGAUCAAAUCCGUCUUAACUCAAAUAUCAUUUUUAGUUAGAAAUAAUCUGUUUAUUACUAAAUUAAAUAAAAAAUUAAACGUUUUUCUCAUCAUGAUUAUAUCUAAUAAACCUAAUUGAAGUGUAUGGGUCAAAACUUAACCUCACGAUAAUAUAUGAGACCGAACAUUUAUUAAAGUAUAUUAGUGAUUAAUAAAUGGUAAGGCCAUUUAUUAAUAAGAUCAUCCGGCAGUUAUUCGAUUUGGCAACUAAGGCCACGGCCUGGCCGUCCUUGUGAGGGCUUCCCCUCAGUGUGGUCCCAACCCCUCGGUGCCAGUUGAUAUCUCUCCUGUCACGAUCCGGAAUUUUCCCACCAUCGGGAGUCGUGAUGGCGCCUACUGUCGAAGCUAGGCAAGCCAACCUUUAUNNNNNNNNNNNNNNNNNNNNNNNNNNNNNNNNNNNNNNNNNNNNNNNNNNNNNNNNNNNNNNNNNNNNNNNNNNNNNNNNNNNNNNNAGCUAGGCAAGCCAACCUUUAUAAUCAUUUUCACAAAACUUAAAUGUAGAACAAGUUAAAUACUAAAAUAAUUAAUUAAAACAUGCGGAAGUCUUUUAGCAACAACAACGAAAACAAAAUGCGGAAACUAACAACAUAUUCCUACCCAGUAUCUGGUGUUAGUACUCACGGACGACUAAGAGUACUAAAGCAAUAGUCUGAAAGAAAUACAUCAUAUGUCCGGUUUGAUACAAUAAAAACAAACUAGAAAAGAUAGAAGAGACUCGGGGACCGCGAACGCCAGCGAACUACCUCAGAAUCUCUGGACUGAAGGAUCGCCCACUAACUACUGUUGCGGUCCGUAGGCUGUGUCUUGACCUGUGCACAAAAAGGCAUAGAAGUGUAGUAUCAGCACAACCGACCCCAUGUGCUGGUAAGUGACAGGCCUAACCCAGUGAAGUAGUAACGAGGCUAGACAAGAAUAUCAUAUAAACCUGUGCAUUUCAACAUAUAUGGGCAAUAGAAGGGGAUACGUGAAUUUAAACAAAUAAAAGGGAAGGGAGCGUGCCGUGGGGUAUAACAGUUCAAUUAUCUAAUCGACAACAACAAAGGAAUGAAAACGGUAUAAUAAACAUCAAUAAAAGGAAACCAGUAAAUCAAAUGUUGCACGGCACCGCCCAUCGUGCUUUUACUCUCGUCCUCGCCAAGAUAAUCAAUUAAAGUGUACAGCAUCACCCAUCGUACGUUAUCACUCUUCCUCACCAAUCAAUAGCAUAAAGUUGUUAUACGGCAUCACCUACCGUGCUUUAUCACUCUUCCUCACAAAUAAAUUACACGGCAUCACCCAUCGUGCUUUAUCACUCUUCCUCACCCAAUCAAUAGCAUGAAGUAGUUACACGGCAUCACUCAUCGUGCUUUAUCGCUCAUCCACACCCAAACAACAUUCACAAAUAAUAGGGAGAAGGUAUGAACGAAACUGAAAUAGUAAUGACCCCGGCAACGGGAAUACAUCUCAGCAAUGAGUCCCAGCAAGGGAAAACAGCUUAACAAUUAAGUCCCGACAAGGGAAAACAACUCAACAAUACGUCCCGAUAAGGGAGAAAAGUACCAAAAUUUCCUUCUUUAGUUCAUUUGCUUCUCAAUUAUCACUUUAUAGUUCAUUUAACAAGUAAUUAGCAUAAUUGUUCACUUCUUUCGAAAUUUAAUAGCAAUUAUGACUCACGGUUAUCCUAGAUUCGGGUGCAUAGGUAACCGUCACCAUACCUAUACACCGACUCCACAUAUCACAUAGCAAAUAUUACCCUAAUCCUAUUCAUUCAAGCCAAAGUUAGAUCAACCACUUACCUCGAAUCCGAAAGGCAACUCAAAGCUCAACAAUCGCCUUUCCUCUAAAAUUCGACCCCGAACCAAUGAUAUCUAACAUAAUCAGGUUCAAUAUUAUCAAUAAGAAUCCAAAAUCUUUCCUCUAGAAUUCGACCCCGAACAAACGUUAUCUAACACAAUUCGAUUCAAUAUUGUCAAUAAGAAUCCAAAAACAUAAUCUCAUAGCCUAUAAAUGCAUUUCAUAGCUUACUUUCAAAAAUAUUAAAAUCCGACACCGGGCUCACGUGGUUCAAACUCGAGGCUCGGACCAAAACCCAAUCCCCCAUAAGCCCACGAGUUCAAAUAUAUAAUUAGAUUUUAAAUUUGACCUCAAAUUGAGGUUGAAAUACCCAAAAUCCCAUAAACCCUAACUAAACCCAAAAUCCCUAAAUUCUACUUUGAUUUCAUGUUUUAGAGUUAGGAAUUUAAUGGUUUGAUGAAGAAAUAGUGAGGAAAUAAUGUUAGGAUUACUUACCCAAAGAGUUAGGAAGAAGGUAGAGAUUGAAUCUCGUCAAUGGAGGAUUUUUGGAGAGAGUUCGAGUGAAAAAUGGGGUGAAAUCCGGAGUGAACAUUGUUUUGGAGUUUAUAUAUUUUCGCUGGGAAAUUACCCUUCGCGUUCGCGAAGGGUUGUGCAGGUUGAGCAUCGCGUUCGCGUGGGAAGGAUCGCGAACGCGUAGAAUAGAAGUUAGGGCUUCACAGUUGGCCUACGCGAACGCGUAGAAUGAGUAGGCCAGGCUUCGCGAACGCGGGAGCCUUCACGCGGACGCGUAGACGAAAAGACAAAGGUCCGGAAUUUUGUUAUAUGUGAACGCGAAGGAGGGAAAAAGAGAGCAUCGCGAACGCGACCAGAUGGACGCGAACGCGAUGAAGGAAUACCUGCUGCAAUUUUCUGCAAUUUUCUAAGUGCAAAAACCUCUCGAACCACCCCCGAAAAACUCCCGAGCCUCGGGGCUCCCAACCAACAACACACACUAACUCAAUAUCAUCAUACGAACUUGAUCGAGCGACCAAAUCUCCAAAAUAACAUCAAAAUCAAAUAAUCAACCCCCAAAAUUCAUAUUUUUCAUUCCUAAGUUCAAAACUUUCAAAAUUUCCAAUUUUAGUCUGAAACACGUCAAAAUGACAUCCGUUUUCAACCAAACUUUACAUAUAGCGCGUAACGCCCAUUUAAGACUUGUACCGGACGUCGGAACCAAAAUACGAGCCCGAUACCAUUAUUUUCGAUCAAUUUCCGUUUUCAUUUUCCUUGAGCUUAUUCAUAAAAUAAUUUCACAUAAAAGCUCCAAACUUAGGCCUAGGACCUCGGAUUUCAAUUUCGGGAAUACGCUGGGGUCCCAAUUUUCAUUACAAACACUGCGGGACCGUCACAUCACGGUCCAGGUCCGUCUACCCAAAACAUUGACCGAAGUCAUCUAUAGCAAUAUUAAUAUCAAAACUUAUAGUUUGUAACACAUUAUUCAAAUAUUUUCACAUACAAAUUUUCCAGCUUCGCAUCUGGACUGAGCAUGGAAAUCGAGGCAACCAAAUAAGAGGUUUUCAAGGUCUUAAAAGUUCAAGGAAAGGGAGAAUCACGGUGAUGACCCUUUUGAGUCGUCACAUCAUCCACCUCUAAAACAACCGUUCGUCCUCGAACGAACAAAAGACAGAAGUACCUGAGUCGGUGAAUAAAUGGGGAUAACGCCUCCGCAUAUCCGACUCAGACUCCCGGAUCGAUGCCUCGGGAGGCUGACCUAUCCACUGAACACGCACUGAAGGAAAACUCUGCGACCUCAACUGUCGAGCCUGCCGGUCUAAAAUAGCCACUGACUCCUCCUCAUAUAGCAGACCCUUGUCCAAUUGGACAGAGCUGAAAUCUAACACGUGGGUGGGAUCACUGUGAUACUUCCAAAGCAUAGAUACAUGGAAAAACCGGAUGCACGACUGACAAGGUACGCGGCAAUGCAAGUCUAUAAGCUACAUUCCCCACACAGUCCAGAAUCUAAAACCGGCCAACAUACCCAGGGAUAAGCUUGCCAUUCUUCCCAAACCUCAUCACGCCCUUAAUAGGCGAUACACAGAGCAAUACUCUCUCACCAACCAUGAAAGCAACAUCCCUGAAUUUAUGACAUGCAACACUCUUCUGCCUGGACUGAGCUGGCCGAAGUGUGUCUUGAAUGAUCUUGACCUUAUCCAAAGCCUCCUGCACCAAGUCUGCACCUAAUAACCGAGCCUCUCCAGGCUCAAACCAUCCGACUGGGGACCGACACCCCUACCAUACAGCGCCUCAUACGGGGCCAUCUGAAUACUAGACUGGUUGAUGUUGUUGUAGGCAAACUCUGCUAAAGGCAAGAACUGGUCCCACGAGCCUUCAAAAUCAAUAACGCAGGCUCGGAGCAUAUCCUUAAUAAUCUGAAUUGUCCUCUCGGACUGACCGUCCGUAUGGGGUGAAAUACUGUGCUCAACUGGACCUGGGCACCCAACUCAUGCUGCACCGCUCUCCAGAAAUGCGAGAUAAACUGCGGACCCCGAUCCGAAAUAAUAGAUAUGGGCACCCCAUGAAGGCGAAUGAUCUCCCUAAUAUAAAUCUUUGCGUACCUCUCGGAUAAAUAGGUGGUGACAACUGGGAUGAAAUGCACUGACUUAGUCAGCCUAUCAACAAUAACCCCCAUAGCAUCAAAUUUUUUCGAGUCAUCGGAAGGGCAGUAACAAAAUCUAUGGUGAUUCUCUCCCACUCCCACUCAGGAAGCUCAAUCCUCUGAAAUAACCCACUGGGUCGCUGAUGCUCGUACUUAACCUGCUGACAAUUUAGACAACAAGCCACAUAUGCAACAAUGUCUUCCUUCAUUCAACGCCACCAAUAAUGUUGCCUCAAAUCCUGAUACAUCUUAGCGACGCCUGGGUGAAUAGAAUACCGAGAACUGUGGGCCUCCGCUAAUAUCGACUCUCGAAUACCAUCAACGUUGGGCACACAGACUCGCCCCUGCAACCUCAAUAUGCCAUCAUAUCCCAAAGUCAUCUCCUUGACAUCUCGCCGCUGCACCGUGUCUGCGACUCGCCCCUGCAACCUCAAUAUGCCAUCAUCUCCCAAAGUCAUCUCCUUGGCACCUCCCAUCCACAUUGUGUCUCUCAGGACAUACAAAUGGGGAUCAUCAAAUUGCCUCUCCCGGAUACGCUCUAUCAAUGACGAGCGAGCAACCGUGCGAGCUAGCACCUUGCUGGGCUCAGAAAUAUCCAAUCUCACAAAUCUAUUGGCCAAGGUCUGAACAUCCAAGGCAANNNNNNNNNNNNNNNNNNNNNNNNNNNNNNNNNNNNNNNNNNNNNNNNNNNNNNNNNNNNNNNNNNNNNNNNNNNNNNNNNNNNNNNNNNNNNNNNNNNNNNNNNNNNNNNNNNNNNNNNNNNNNNNNNNNNNNNNNNNNNNNNNNNNNNNNNNNNNNNNNNNNNNNNAACACCCUGCUGGGCUCAGAAAUAUCCAAUCUCACAAAUCUAUUGGCCAAGGCCUGAACAUCCAAGGCAAGCGGUCUCUGGGUUACCGGAAUAUAUGCAAGACUACCCAUGCUGGCGGACUUUCCACUCAAUGCAUCGGCCACCACAUUGGCCUUCCCUGGGUGGUAUAAAAUAGAAACAUCACAAUCUUUUAACAACUCCAACCACCUCCGCUGUCUCAAAUUCAACUCUUUCUGCUUGAACAAGUCACCACAUUGGCCUUUCCUUGGUGGUAUAAAAUGGAAACAUCAUAAUCUUUUAACAAUUCCAACCACCUCCGCUGUAUCAAAUUCAACUCUUUCUGCUUGAACAAGUACUACUGAAGGCUCUUGUGAUCCGUGUACUCCUCACACGUCACACCAUACAAAUAAUGCCUCCAAAUCUUCAAGGCAUGAACAAUGGCUGCCAACUAUAGGUCAUGGACUGGAUAAUUCUUCUCGUGGAUCUUCAACUACCUCGAAACAUAUACUGUUACCUUGCCGUUCUGUAUCAACACUGUGCCAAGAACGAUGUGGGAAGCAUCACAAUAAACCGUAGGAGAUCCUGAUCUCAUGGGCAAAAUCAAUCCCGGUGCGAAAAACUAUUUUAAGGACACCGAAUGCUCCAAUCCUCAACUGGUGGUAACCCGAUCCCGAAUCUAUCCUUGAGAAAACAUCUUGGUGCUAUGAAGCUGAUUGAAACCUAUCCUCAUCGAACCGUCCUUACCUUUCGCAAUAACGUCGGGUACGCCCCAAGACAAAACUCUGGCCUAAUGAAACCCUUAUCAAGCAAAUCUUCCUUUAACUCUCCCAACUUUGGCGGGGCCAUGCGAUACGAUGAAACAAAAAUAGGCUGGGUGCCCCGUGCCAGAUCAAUGUGAAGAUCGAUAUCCCUGUCAGGUAGUAUGCCCCGCAUGUCUAAUGAAAAAAAAAGACAUCGGGGAAGCUCCCGAACAAUAGGAACAGAUCCAACAGAAGGAACCUUUGUGUUGGAGUCGCGAUCGUAUGCUAAUUGAGCUAAGCACUCCUCUCUUAACCAUGUGUCGAGCCUUCCCAUACAAUAUCACACUGCGGGUCGGAUGAUCUAAAAUCCCUCUUCAUCUUAAAUGGGGCAAAUCAGGUAAGCUAAGAUAACGGUUUUGGUGCGAUAAUCCCAAAAUAGCAUGGCACGGGGACAACUAAUCCAUCCCCAAUAUAAUGUCGAAGUCCACCAUGUCUAGAAGCAAUAAAUUGACACGGGGCUCAAGACCCUCAAAACCCAUCGGUGCAAAUACAUAUACAGAAACCCAAGGCCUCACUAGGCAUAACCGAAUGUAGUGCAAAAUAGGAUGAAACAUAUGAAUGCGUAGAAUCAAGGUCAAAUAGAACUGAAUCAUCUCUAAUACAAAUCAGAACGAUACCUGGAACGUCUGCAUCUAAAGUGUCAACCUCCAAACUGACCGCUCGCUAAUCCCUACUUCUGGCGGUCUGAACUCCACCUCUAAGACCUAUACCCCGCCUCUAGCCAGCUGGGUAGGCUGUGGAACCUGUGGUGCCCGGAGCCAAGCACGAUAACUCUAAUACUGAGAGCUGCUCAGAGCAAGAUCUGACCAUGUGCAUCGGAUCACCACAAGCAUGCCAGGACCUCGGAUGCUGCGGAUGAGCACCCCUGACCCUCGGGCAAGCCCCCCUGAGGUGUCCAUACUCGCCACACUCGAAACAUCUACACAUACAAUGCAACUGAGGAAAUUGGGGCUGGCCCGGUUGGCCACCUGAAGGGCCAUGAACGACAUGGGAAACUGGAUGAAAGGGCCUGGAAGGAUGGCCUAUACCAUAAGAACCUCUACCUCCAGAAAAGGUACCACUGAAUCGGCCUGCAUGACGGAGCCUUUUAUCUGAUCGAUGACCGCCUCCUUGUGGCAGUACCACCUCAACUCCACGGCCCUGAUUGGUCGUCUCCUGGAAAGGGACCUCACUCCUAGUCUGAUCCGUUGUACCCAGAUGACCUACUAUCGCUGGCUGGGUGGCGUCUGCUUCCUGAAUCAUGGGACGAGGACCCUACUGCUCCGAACUGCUGGAAGCUCGAGGCAAUACUUGGCAAUUGUGCAUCAGGUCGCUGCAAGUGAAGCAAGCCCUCGCAAUUAUUAAAACCUAUUCGUGAUUAAUAAAUGGUAAGGCCAUUUAUUAAUAAGUUUAUCGGGCAGUUAUUCGAUUUGGCAACUAAGGCCACGGCCUGGCCGUCCUUGUGAGGGCGUCCCCUCAGUGUGGUCCCAACCCCCCGGCGCCUGCUGACAUGUCCCAUAGCUAUAAAUACUAAGAGAAAAAACCCUAAGGGGGGGGCUGCUUCUUCUUCUUCUUCUUCUUCACAUCUCAUUCUGAAAGAAGAGAGAGCGCAUCAUUCUAAUGUAAGAUAUAUGGACUUAUAUCUACAUACAUAUGAACAAUAUAUGGAUAAAUUAUAUGUUAUGUGCUAUCUUUUGGUUUGGCCUAAUUUUGUGGCAUUGUAAGGCUAUGAACCUCUCCUUGGAGAGGCAGAUCAAACUAAUAUCAUUAAUAAAGGAUAUUCACCCUCCUCCCUUUAACUUACAACUGUUACCUUUUGCAUCAUACUCAUUUGGUCUUUUGAUUUAUUACAAUCUGCUAUGAUUGACCCUUCAUUUAUUUUGAUUGUUUUAUGCUUAUAAAGCAUACGAGACCUUUUGAGCAAAAUAUGAAGAAAUUUACUUUUCAUGUUUCAAACAUUUUCAUAUGGGGCAAUUCAGCUGGCAUAGAUAAGCUAAUUGCCAAAGAUAUACUCGCUCAACUUGCUAAAUUGUUAGUAAGUAACAAAAUCAAAAUCAGAUCAGUUAUAAUUGUUUAUUCGACUUUGUUAAGAAUUUUAACUCAAAAUAACAAGGAAAUAGCCAAGAGACGUAGAGAAUAAAUAAAGGAUAUAGAGAGUAAGAGAAAACUUAAGUUUAUUUCUUUCUAUAUACGAUAUGAUUCUCAAUAAUUUAUCCACCAGUCAAACUACUGCGUUCGUUCCUCACCUUUUUUCUAAUCAAAUCUAUUUGGAGGCAGAGGACGACACCGAAUCAUGGUUAGUCACCCUGCAAAUGGAUCUAUUCUUCUCUUCCUCAAUUGAGUAGGUGAAUAUAUAGACAUUUUAGGAGUUAUGAACAACUAACAUAAUAUUAUAUUAUAUAUUUAAUACUUAUUAAAUUAUUAUAACGAUUUCAGUCUUAAAAUUACCACGGAACAAAAUACAUGUCAUAAAGUCCAAAAUUAUAUUUUGUUACGACCCAUUCCUUCUACAAUUUGAUACUUUUUCAAAGAUAUGUUGUAUUAUUAUUUUUACAGCUCUAGUAAAGACCUUAUCAAAAGUUUAACUAAUUUAGUAAUGGAUUUCAAAAGUAAUAAAUCUCAAAGAAGUAUUCACAGACUUUUGGAUAAACUAUGAGCCCGUGUGGACAUAAGAAAUUUUCCCCCUUUUGCAAUUUUUUUAAUAUUUUUUUCGAAAUUAGCGUUUGUUCAUAAAAUUUUCAAUUUUUAAUUGAAGAUGCAUUUUGCAAAUUUAAAAAACUUUAAAAGUUAUUUUUUAAUUUUUUUACUCAAACCGCAAAACUUCAAAAACAACCCAAAAUUAUAUUCAUGUCCAAACACAACUCUAAGUUUCAAAUAUCAUUUUCACUUGAAUUUUUCUUUCACCCUAUUGUAAAUUUUAUAAUUCUUAUGUCCAAACGACCACUAUGAGUCCGUUUGGACGUAAGAAUAUUUUCACUUUUUUCCGAUUUGUUUUUACGAAAUUAGUGUUUGACCAUAAAAUUUUUAUUUUUCCAAUGAAUUUUAAAAUUUUUCGCAAAAAACUUUAAAAAGUUAUUUUUUAAAAUUUUCAAUUACAACUCACAAAUUUUUUAAAACAACUCAAAAUUAUACUUACGUCGAACACAAAUCUAAUUUUAUUUUCAAAGAAAAUUUCGUUUUUUUCCCCUGAAAUUUACAAUUUUUAUGUCCAAACGCCCACUAUAUGUAGUAAACAAAAUGUUAGGAAAUGAAGAAAGCAAAAGCUCAGAAGGGAAAGAAUGAGACUACAGAGAGUUUGAGGAUUUUCAUUGAAAGGGCGGUUGCCUCUCUCUGCAAUUAGUCAAUGAUUUCUCUAUUUACUGUAAGAACCCUAACAGCCCUUCUUUAUCAAUUUUAUCGGAGGGAGUAUAUGUAUAUAUAUAUAUAUUAUUAAGGGUUUUCUAUACCCUUCCACUCUUUUUUUCUUUUUCUUUUUUUAAUGCUUUCGCCGGAGCAGUCUAUGCUUGCUGGUGGAGCUGGUGGAAGCGGUGACGGUGAGUAUAAUCGGCUGCUAAAAUGAGGCGAUGAUGAUUUUUGUCAUUCCCUUCUGAUCUUAUUAAUUAAUCGGGACAUUUUGAGAUAACCCGACCCGUAUCUUGGUGGGGCAUGCUCACUGUGGGUUAUUGCAGCCAUGGCGUCGUUGGACUCUCCUUUUGCCUUCGAUUAAACACAGAUCUGAGCCUUGAUAUACAAUCAAAUCUCUAUAACAACAUUCUUAUGUAACAAUAUGUAACAAUCAUUCACUAUAAAAGCCAAAGCUUUUUAGGAACCGAUUUUAACAUUAUGUUAUAAUAUACGAUUCUUUAUAAUAACACUUCACUAUAGCAGCAAAAAGAUAUUGAAACAAACGAAGCAGCAAAAAAAUAUGGAAACAAAUGAAGCCGUUAUAAAGAGGUCUGACUGUAUAUGCCAAUUUUAGAAACUUCGGCUAAUCUUGGAGUGGGAUGUAGAGUAUUCAUAUCGAUUUGUUAUGAGGCGUAGUGGUUGUUGAUGUUGUUGUUUUAGAUGAUGGAAUGGCUUACUCUUGAAUUGCAAAACUCACAAUUUUGUUGUCUGUUUUGUCCAUUCUUGGAGCUCAAAAGGCCUAAUCUGUUGUUUCACUAGUUGUCAAAAUGGAUUUUUUAGUUAUGCUUUUCAAAAUGCAAAGAACUCCAAAAACUGUGAAAGUCUUAUUAGUUUCAAGUCUGAGGCUGUGGUGAAUGCAGAGAGCUGUAGGAAGUUUUGAUGGGGGGUUUUGCCCCUCUCUGUCUUUCUCCUCUGCCAAUGAUAACUGCAAUGAAGCAUUUUUUUAUCAACAAAACUACCGUUUUGGUGAAAAUACACAAUGAUCUUGCUAGUUUCCUGUUCUUGUUACUCUCUCCGUUUCAAUGCAAUGAGGCUGUGAAGAUUUUAGUCCUCUGUGGGAGAUGAAUCAGACAUUUUUCUCUUUAGCCGAAAACACUAUCUUGGCAUGGCAGCUCAGAUGUGUCUAUGAGAUUUGGGGGCAAAGUUCCAUUUUUGGUAUUUCCUCUGUCUCAUACGACUAACUUGUCUCAUAAGACUAACUGUUACUUGCAGCCAAUAGUGCUAAAAGAAUGAGGUUUUUGGUGACUCAGAGAGUGCAGCAGUGUCUUAAGGUUGGGUUCUCUUUCUCUGUGAGUUCAUAGAGCUCGUUUGGAUUAGCUGAUUUGAACAUUAGGUGCUGAAAUUGAUUUAAUAAAUAACCAGUUAUGUGUUUAGUACAAGUGCUUAAAUUGAUAAUAAGUUGUUUCAGUAUUUGAUAAAAAAAAACUGAUAAGCUCUUUUUCUAUUAAGAUGACUUAAAUAACCUUAGAAAAGUUUACACUUAUAAGGGCGUAAUUUCUUCAAAAUUUUAGAUUCCAGAUCGAUUCAAAUAUAAAAUAUUCUAUUUGUCAUUUUAUUUUAAAUACAACUGUACUUAGAUAAGAUAAUUUUUUAGGAUAAAUAUAAUUUAUUUUAUAAUAAGCAUAUAAUCAUAAGUUAUAAUAAUUAAUAAAUUGAUAAAAGUUUCUUAAUAAAAAAUAAACCUAAAUAGAACAAAUUAUUUGAAGAGAAACAAACAUUGCCUUCAUCACCACAACACUUAGAAAGCAAUACACCAAAAAUUUGAUAUGUCCUCAAUUAUUACAUACAGCUCAAAAAUUAAUACACAAUCACAUAACUAUAAGUAUGCAAAAAAAUAGGGACUUUGCUUACCUUAACUAGUCAAUGAGAGUUGCAGACUUUAAGAGGUUUGGNNNNNNNNNNNNNNNNNNNNNNNNNNNNNNNNNNNNNNNNNNNNNNNNNNNNNNNNNNNNNNNNNNNNNNNNNNNNNNNNNNNNNNNNNNNNNNNNNNNNNNNNNNNNNNNNNNNNNNNNNNNNNNNNNNNNNUGGGGGGGGGGGGUAGGUUGAAUACCCGAGGCGUGAGUUUCGAUAAAGUAGUUUUGUUCUAAAAAGAAAUAUUUUAAGGAUAAAAUAGUAAAAAUCUUGGUCAAACUUAAAGUGAUUAUAAAAUAAAAAUUCAUAAGCUGGGGGUGACCAGCUUAUGGUUUUUGGCUUAUUUUUGACUUAUACGCAUUUGGUGUAUAAGCAGUUUUAAUUUUACCAAACGCGUAGAUAAGCCGAAAAGUACUUAUAAGCUAGUUUGACCAUCUUAUAAGCUUAGCCAAACACUCUCAUAGUUGAUGAAUUCUCUUGGUUUAGGGACAAGUUAUGCCGGCGCAAUGAGUAUGAUUGACAGCUUGAAAAAGGCAAUGAUAAUUUUGUAAAUCUAUCAUAUUAAUCGGGCAGUUGAGAUUAUCGACACUUAUCUUGGCGGGAAUGCUCUCAGGUCUCCCCUGGUGGGUUUUGCAGCCAUGGCUUCGGGGGAAUCUCCUGGUGAGUUUUAAGGGUCUAUCUAUCUGUUUGGCCUAUCUAAAUUAACAAUACAAUGGGUAACAACAACCCAAACAAGCUUUUAUUGGUUCUUUUCGUUUAGAGACAAGUUAUGCCGUUGGUGGUGACUGUGGCUUGAAAGAGGCGAUGAUGAUUGUCAAUGUCCAUUCUUUCUAAGCUUAUUAGUCUACCCUUUGAUAUUAUCUGGCAUGUAUCUUGGUGGGGGCGUGCCUCCAGAUUUUCUGGUGGUCUUUUGCAUCCAUGGCAUUGUCAGAUCUCCUUUUGCUUGAGUUAUAGAACAGAUCUGAGCCUCGACCGAAGCAGGGGUGAUUUGCACAAAUAGGAUGCUUUGAGGCCAUUGUUUAUAUUUUGUCGUGCAAGCAUUUUUGCAAAUCUCAUUCGUUUAAGUCUGAGGCUGCGGUGAAGCAGAGAGUUGUGGGGAUUUCCAUUGGGUGGUUUUGUCCGUCUCUGUCAUUAUGGAUUGCCGAUGAUCACUGAUAAUUUUUUUUGAUUGCAAAACCACCCUCUUUGUGAAAUUUCACAUGACCUCUUUUCGUUUUCCUACUCUCUCGGUUUAGCCUCUCUACCUUCUCAAGGUAAGGAUAAGGUCUACGUACACACUAUCAUUCCCCCAUCCCACUUGUGAGAUUCAACUGGGUUUGUUGUUGUUGUUGAGGCUAUGAAGAUUUUAUCUUCUGCGAAAGAUGAAACAUAUAUUUCUAUUGAGCUGAAGAAAACUGUAACUUGGCAUGGCAGCUCAGAUGGUUCUGUGAGAUAUGGGGAGAGAAGUUUCAUUUGUGGUGUUCUCUGUCUCAUAAGGCUUACUGAUGCUUGCAGCCAUGGCGGUUUUAAAGCAAAGAGUUACGCAUAGCCUAGAGAGUGAGGCAUCAGAGACAUUGGGAUUUUUUUUGUAAAGGGUGGUUGCCCCUCUCUGCUAUGCCUGUGAUUUAUCCAUUGAUAACCAGAAAACCAACAGCCCUUUCAAAUAAACAAGAAAAAAGAAAAUCUUUCAUCCAAACACACCCUUGUACACUUCUUCGUCUUCGUCUUCUCUUUGUGCUGCUGCUACUGAUAUUGUAAAGGGGCUGUGAUGAUUGCUUUCCUUUCUUGACUAUGUUUGAUCACGGCAUUGAGAAAAAUGAAAAUACUGACCGUAUCUUGGCUGAGGCAAUACGGUAUGGCUUUGUAUAGCAAACUGGUGUCUGCAGCCAUGGCGGCAUCCCCUUCUCUUUUGCUUAGUUCAAAUACGGAAAAUCUGAGCCCUCAAUUCCCAUUUCAUGUUCUUCUAUGGUGAGUCAUUAUUCUCUUUUGAGAGAGAUUUUAACCAAAAGACUCUUGUAAGUCUCAUUUUAAGACUAUAAUCAGGGACUUUUUAACCGAAAGAACUGUGUAAUUCUUGAUUUAAGAAACUAGCUCGUACUUCUCUCUUUUUUCCUCCUCUCUCUCACUACCCCACAGGUAAUUUAUGUACAGAGAAAAGAGGAGAAGAGAGCUGGGAAAUUCCGAGGUGAAAAACCAAAGAAUUUCCUCAUAAAAGCCAGAGGUUAGUCCAGAAAGGAAAGAAAUGAGGCAAAACAGAGAGUAUUGGGAUUUUCUUUAAAAGAAUGGUUUUCCCUCUCUGUUCCGCCAUUGAUUUUCCUCGAUUAUCAAACAACCAACAGCCCUUUGUUUAUGAGAACAGCAGAAACUGGAAAAGGACUUAUCCUAUAUACAUUGCAUCUCUGUCUUUCCUCUGUGCACGCGUGUGACUGUGUGUAUUGUAUUUAGAGUGGGGAUGGAAGGUACAUAAAGACGCAGUGACGAUGAUGCUACUAUAUCUGAGCUAUCCGAUUCGGGCAUGGAGAUGACUCGACCCGUAUCUUGGCUUGGCAACCCGGUAUGGCGUGUGAUUGCGACUUCUGUCUCUGAUGUGCAACCGGUGUUUGCAGCCAUGGCGUGGCUGUUUUCUCUUUUUGCCUUAUCAAUAACACACAUCCGAGCCCCAUUUGCUGAAAAGAAAGAAAAAAACAGCCUCUUUUUCCUUUGAUCAUUACCCACCCGGUAUGGCGUGUGAUUGCGACUUCUGUCUCUGAUGUGCAACCGGUGUUUGCAGCCAUGGCGUGGCUGUUUUCUCUUUUUGCCUUAUCAAUAACACACAUCCGAGCCCCAUUUGCUGAAAAAAAAAACAGACUCUUUUUUCUUUGAUUCAUUACCCUCUCCAGCCCCCCACACUGUGGGAUACACUGGGUACGCUGCUGCUGCUGCUGCUGCUGUUGUUGUUGUUGUAAUGUUUGGAAUAUGUGACAUGUGCUACUUUCUGCUACAAGUUAUCAGCCCAGAAAGAAAUGAAGCAAAACUGAGAGUUUGGGAUUUUCUUUAAUGGGUGGUUGCCCCUCUCUGUUCUGCUAUUGAUUUUCCUCUAUUCACAAAAAACGACAGCCCUUGUCAUGGAAACAACGGAAACAUGAAGAAUAUAAUUAAACAAUAUUAAUCCUCGUAGUACUACUACAUAUCAGGGAAAUUCAGAGGUGAAAAACCAAGGAAUUUCUCUUAUAAGUUGUUGUCUUUACACUGUCUGAGAGCCGAUCACCCCAGACCCACGAGAGGUUUGAGAAUGAUCCUCUACUGUUCAGAGGCCCAAGGGCCACCAAAGAUGCUAAUCACGGUCUGGCUCAUGGUCACAUUCCAUCCACUUAGACUUGGUUUCCUAUCUCCUUAGAACUCAAGGAUAUAGCAGUGCUACGAGCCUAUAGAACAGAUCCUGUUAAGUAAGGUCGCGGGAAAAAUAACUAAAGAAUUUCCUAGAAAGGGAAGGUUAGCCCAGAAAGAAAGAGAAAGAAAUGAGGCAAAACAGAGAGUAUUGGGAUUUUCUUUAAGAGGGUGGUUGCCCUUCUCUGUUCACCAUCGAUUUUCCUCCAUAUCAAAAACCCAACAGCCCAUUGUUUGUGGAAACAAGCCGAAGCAUAAACCGAAAAAACAAAAAAGGAUUUUACAUUAUGUACACUGACAUCUCUGUCUUCACUUUGUGUUUAUUCAGUGUGUAUGGUUGUGCGAUAAAGAGGCGGUGAUGAUGUCGUUUCUCUAUCUGAGCUAACCAAUUUGGGCAUGGAGAUGACCCGACCCGUAUCGUGGCAUGGCAACCUGGUAUGGCUUGUGACUGAGACUUUUGUCUCAUACCUGCAACCGGUGUUUUGCAGCCAUGACGUUGCCUUAUCAUUAUUCACAUCUGAGCCCUUUUUACUUGAAAAAAAGAGAUGAGAAUCUUUUCCCUGAUUUAAUGUUUGGAUAUGUCGAACCUGCAAUUUUCUGCUUACGUGGAACAAAGCAAAUGCUCAGAAGGGAGAGAAUGAGGCUACAUAGCAUAUAGGGAUUUUUGGUGAAAGGGUGGUUGCCUCUCUUUGCAUUAGCCUAUGAUUUCUCAAAACAAUCCCAACAGCCCUUUCUUCGGGAAUAUUUUGCAUGGUAUGGCCAGUUUUAGGACUGCUAUUUUACAUGGGGAGAUUUGUAAAAAAAGGUCUAUGCAUUUUCUUUUUCUUUCUUUCUUCCUUUUAUGCUUCAGCUGGAGCAUUUAAUGCUGCUGCUGAUUAUAAUCAGCGGCUAAAAAGGCUGUGAUGAUUUUGUCAAUUCUUUCAGUCCCUUCUGAGCUUAUCAAUUGGCAUUUGAGAUUAUCCGACUGGUAUCUUGGUGGGGCAUUCCCCAGAUCUCCCUUGGUGGUUUUUGCAGCCGUAGCAUCGUCGGAUCUGUCCUUUUGCCUGAGCUGUAACACUGAUCUGAGCCUCACUUUCUCUUUGUCCUUUCUAAAAUGGAUAUAGGCAGAGGCAGAUUCAAUAUUUGAACUUAAAAGUACUUAGCACUCAACUCAUAGUACUUUUGGAAAUUUGGGCUCAAAAUCUAACACGAAAAUUGCCUCUACCUUUCUAGAAGUAGGGGUAUGGUUUGCGUACACACUACCCUUCGCAGGCCCCACUUGUGGGAAUACACUGAGUUUGUUUGUUGUUAUAAUCUAACACGAAAAUAGCAAAAAUCUCAUUAGUUUAAGUCUGAGGCUAAGGUGAAAGCUUCUCUGCCAAUGAUCACUCUUAACGAGAAAAAUUUCCUAUUGCGAAACGACGCUUUUGGUGAAAUUACACUUGACCUCUCUCUUUUACUUUUCUUGUUACUCUCUCUGGUCCAUUACGCUAUGGAGAUUUUGUCUUCUGCGAAAGAUGAAACAGGCAUAUAAUUCUAUGGAGCUGAUAACACUGUGUCUUGGCGUGACAGCUCAGAUGGGUCUGUGGGAUAUUGGGGGAAAAGAACCCUUUUGGUGCUUCUUAAUCUGUCUCAUAAGGCUAACUGUUGCUUGCAUCCAUGGCAGUUUUUCCAAAGCCUUUUGAUUUUUUGUCUGAGAGAAGGCGAUUCUCAGCCUAACCCAUUAUUUUGGUUUUUGUUUUUCCUUCUGCUCCUUGAUUACAGAGGAAAUAUUUGAGCUCAUAACCUCAUUUUACAGUCAGAUAUAUGAAUACUCGCUAGCCAUUCCAACAUUCAAUAGUUUUAGUUUCUCAAACACUUGGUGAAACGCGUUAGUUUAAUUUAGGACUUGGUGAAAACAGAGAGCUCUGGGGAGAUCCCGUGGGUGGUUUACCCUCUCUCUUAUUCUCUAGCAUUGAUGAUUACUCAAAAGAAAUUAUUUUUAAUAUGCUAAGCCACAGUUUUGGUGAAAUUUAUUCUGUAGCGUCGAUGUUUACUCAAAAGAAAUUAUUUUUAAUAUGUAAAGCCACAGUUUUGGUGAAAUUCUUGCUACCCCCUCUGUUCCAUUUAUGAGCAAUGAGGCUGUAAGAUAUUUUCUUUUAUUUUAUUUUGGUAUGAUGAUGAUAUGGAUGAUUUUAAAGAAAGAAGUGGGAUUCGUAUUGUCGACCCCAACUUGUUUGGGAUUGAGGCAUAGUUAGUGUCGUCGCAGUCUGUGUAUAUGAAUCAAACAUUUUUCUCUUGAGCUGAAAAAACUGUAUCUUGGUGUUGCAACUCAUAUGGGUCUGAAAUCUUUUGGAAAAAUUCAAUUAGUGUUUCUUUUCUGUCUCAUAAGUCUCACGGAUGCUUGCAGCCAUGACAAUUCUUAAAGCUUAUGCUUUUUGUCUGAGAAAAAAAAUCUUAGUCCACCCAUUACCUAGAUUGUGUUAAAAGAAUGAGGCUUUAUGUGACUCACAGAAUGCAGGAGUUUCUCUAUUGGUCGCUCUGUUCCUUUGUAGUUUGACAGCUUUUGAAUUCUUUGAUUCUUUUCUAUCAGCAGCCCUGGCAUCAGAAGAUAUUGAUGAAAACAAUGAUGACGAUGCUGAAUCAGUCAACUAUGCCGGUAUGCCCUUAUCCCAAAUAGUUUGCAUCGGCUAUAUGGACCUCUGUUCAUUCUACUCUAAACCCCAAACCUAGUGAAUGAGGCUGUGGUGAUCUUAUCCAGAAAGCUUGAAAUCUCAGAUAUUUGUGCUGAGUCUUAGCUUGGCUAGUGAUGGUGGGGGGAGUUUUGUUUUUUCAGCUUUGGGUUUUGAUACUUGUAGACAAAUCUUAGCCUCAUGUUUGUAUUACUUUCAAUUCCUUGGACAGUCUGUCAACAUUUUCUUUGAAAAGAAGUUUCACGUAUUCUCCUCAAAUUUUGAUUCCAUUUUCUGAAUCUUGAGAAUUCACAAUCUUGGAGGCAGUGAAGAUUAUCUUAAAAAGACUGAACAGUAUUUUUUGAGCUAAUUUCUGGCUUGGCACUUGGAAGGUCUGUGAAGGUGUCCCUUCUCAUGAGGCAACCAUGUAUGCAGCUAUGAAAGCUUUAGCUCUGCUCUUUGAUUGAAUAGGCGAAAAUCGGAGCCUCGUCUAUACGUCAGUUUAACUUUUGUUUGAACACUGUUACUGUAUAUUGGUGAAGCUUUCUGGGAAUAAAUUUGAAUUUAAACUUAAGUCUUGAACUGUUUUCAUGUUUCAAAGUUGUUUUUCGAUAGUUGGGUUUUCAUGAAAAAGAUUACAAAAAUGCAUGGUUUCUCGUCUUGAUGUCUUAAUGUUUCCUAUAGUUCAUUCUGAAUUUUUGUAACUUGUACCAUUCUGAUUUAUCUUUUAGCUUUUAUCUUUCGAUAAUAUAAUGAAUUGUGAGUUAGCUUUUAUCUUUCGAUGAUCUGGGGAGUCGGUAAGUUGUCAUUUUCAUAUUAUCCUAUGAGCAAUCUUGGGGUUAUAUGAAAAAUUUAUUAAACAACCUGAUGGCUCUUAAAUGUUUACUUAUAUUUAAAAAAUGAAAAUUAAUUACAACAACCAAGGAGAUCUAUAGGAAUUAGUAAUGGUUUCUCAUUUGGAUGUGAGCACAAAAUGGAGAAAUGUUAUUCACAUGAAUGCCUGUUUCAGAAUGUUCUUACAUUUGUUUUUUCUGUGUGUAUACCUUGUUUAAAAUAAUUGAGGGUAUUUUAGUAAACUUAGUAGUACAGUACAGUCAAACCAAACAAUAAAGAUGUUAUUUAACAACAACUGAUACGGUCUAUCCAAAUGUUAUAUCUAGUAAACGAUAUAAUAUAAUAUAAUACAUUAUAAAACGAAGGGUAACAAUAAUUCAAAUACAGUGUAAAACAACUCUUAGCUUUGACUGACAAGUCCAUCUAAUUCUUGGUCGGUAAUUAUCUUCUUUGUCAUAUUUUUUUAAUCAUCAGAUAUCCUAAUUUGGAGUAUAAUAACUGCCGCAAAAAGUGAUAACGAUAAAGAUAAACUGAAUUUAUGUGGACUGAGGUUCCUAUUCAGUUGACGAGAUUAGAUUUUUUUUUGCAUGGUAUAACGUGUAAAUAUUCAACCAUUUCUUGACAUGUCAACAAUACUUAAAAAUAUAUACUAGUUUUGCAAAUAUGAGAUUAUCAUAUAUAGUAGUUCUAGUUCCUGCUCCUUUUGAAAGCUUCUCAAACCUCCUAAGUUUAAUACUUAAAAAUAUAAGGCCAUCAAACGACAAUGAAAUCACCAAAGAAAAAGUGUAGUAGAUAAUUUCCAUUAAAAAAGUUGAAUAUAUAAAAAAGAGUGCACACAUUAUAACCUUAAGCGACUAUGAGGUUAUGAUCUUCUCUUUUACAUUUUUAACUGUUUUUGUGAGAUGUAGCUAAACUCUUGCUCAUAUUUUAAGGACCAUUUUGAUUUUAAAAAAAAAACUCGCGUACAUUUAAAACUGAAAUCCUCAAUUGCCCCCCUAAAUAAGGUAAGAGUCUUUUCUCUUCUUCUGAUGCCUCAUUACCGAAGAAAGAAAAGAAAAUAUUGCAAUAAAUAAUUUAUACAAGUUUAGGAUAGUGUAAGGGAGUGAUAGAGAUAUGGAAAGACAAAAAGUAAGCUCAAGAGGGGGACGAUUAGGCUACAAAAAGAGUUCAAGAUUUUUUUGAUAUGAACAAGGAGUGUGGGUACUAAAAAUAUUUAGGUGAGACAAACUUACUUCAAGUCUCACCAUAGAGUCAUGCAUCAAACAAACGUUAAAAUUAACAAAAGAAAAGGGAUAUCAUCUGUCACGAUCCCAGUUCGCUUUUCGUGAACAUGUCGUGAUGGCACCUAGUCUCUACGACUGAGUAAGUCUAACAACGCGGAAAUAUAAUCAAUUUCAGAAAAAAAUAUUUAAACUGAACCAAGUAAAUAACUGAAUGAUCAAGGUGCCAUCUGACACAUACAAUAUCAACUCUCUCAUAACUAAACAAAAAUUUCCAAAACCCGAAAUCUCACAAAUCACAAGCUAAGGAAUACAUACGAGGCUCUGACUCAAGAAUUUUUAUACAAAGAGAAAUACUGAAAAAGCUAUACUUAUUAUAGAAAGUUAGAAAGGGGACUCCUUGGUCUGCGGAAGUAGCAGAUAUACCUCGAAGUCUCCACCGAUACGCCUCCUUCCAAAGUCGACAGAAUUGAAUGGGAGUACCUGAAUCUGCACAACAAAAAGUGUGCAGAAGAGUAGCAUGAGCACACCACGGCGGUGCCCAAAAAGUAUCAAGACUAACCUCGAUGGAGUAGUGACGAGGAACAGUCGAGACACCUACCGGUAAACAGUAUAACAGAAAUAAUAGCGAUGAUAUGUAGUAAGUAUCAAGAUUAACCUCGAUGGAGUAGUGACGAGGAACAGUCGAGACACCUACCGGUAAACAGUAUAACAAAAAUAAUAGCGAUGAUAUGCAAAUAUGUAAAGACUGCACGGAUGAGUAAAAAUGCAACAAAUCACAAUAUGGCUAAUAAUAAGUAAUAACGAGAAUACAAUAAAUGAUAAUAUGAAAAUGACGGCAGAAAUCACAAUCCAAAUCCUGAAGUCACAACACAACAAGGACAAACAAGUCACUAAGUCGUUACUCAGCAAUGAUGCUUACAUAAGGUCUUUCCAACUCUUUCCACAAUUCUACCACAAAUUCUCAUACCAGCCACAACUCAUGAAAACCCAGCAUCUGAAGAUGGCCCAAAUCUAUUCAAUUAAAUCACACAUUUAAAUAAUAUCUUAAGCAACUGGUUAUAUAAUUUAACUCAAAGCUAAAGCGAGAAAUUAGGUAAAAUGACCAAAACGUCCCUCGGGCCAACGUCUCGGAACCGAAUGAAUUUAACAUUUUCAGAAUUCUCGUACUCUCACGAGUCUAACCAUAUAAAAAUAUCUCAAAUCGGAGGUCAAACACUCCCCUCAAAAUCCAAUAAUUCGGUCAAUGAAAUCCUACCCAUUUUUCAUUCAAAAACUGAAAUUAAAGGAUGAAAUUAAGAAGAGAUUCUUGGAAGUUGGUCUAAAUCGAGUGAGAAACACUUACCGAAGUUGCCCAGGUGAAAAUGCUUUCAAAAAUCGCCUAGAACCGAGUUCUAGAAGUCAAAAUGUGAAUAAAUGGUGAAACCCUCGAAUUUGGGAAUUAAUUCUGUCUGCCCAGGUGUUUGUGCAUCGCGAUCGCGGGAGAAGGGUCGCAAUCGCGUAGAAGAAAUUUCAAGGCUGCCCAGAUUGCUCAUCGCGAACGCGAGAUCAGGCGAUCGCGAAGUGAAAACGAUUAGACCAUCGCUAUCGCGGGAAGCUUGAUGCGAAUGCGAUGAAGAAAUUCACAGAACUUCGUGAACGUGUGGUGACGAAUUCGAACGUGAAGAAGAGAGAUGUGGGACAUCAUGAUCGCAAAGGAAAAGACGCGAUCGCGAAGAAGGAUUUCGAGGUGGUCUUCAACAAGGCAACGCGAUCGCGGGAGAAGCUUCGCGAUCACGUAGAAGGAUAGCAGAAACAUCAGUUCAAAGUGGAGGAAAAAGGAUCUGUAGCCCAUCCGAAACACACCCGAGGCCCCCGGGACCCCGUCUAAUCUCACAAAUAAGUCACAUAGCCUAACACGGACUCUCUCUAAGCUUGAAAUCACAUAACACAACAUCGAAACGAUGAAUCGAACCAAAAAUCAAGCUUAUGAACUUUAAAAUCUUCAAAUAACGAAUCUCAUGCCGAAACCUAUCAAUUCAACUCGGAAUGACGCCAAAUNNNNNNNNNNNNNNNNNNNNNNNNNNNNNNNNNNNNNNNNNNNNNNNNNNNNNNNNNCUAUCAAUUCAACUCGGAAUGACUCCAAAUUUUGCAGACUAGUCCAAAAUGACAUCACAAAACUGUUGCAACUCUCGAAAUUGCAUUCCGGCCUUAAUUUCCAAAAAGUCAACUGUAGGUCAAACUUCUUCAUUUUCCAACUUCAACUUUCGCCAAAAUGCCUCAAUUAACUAUACGGACCUACAAAUCUGAAUCCAGACGCGCGCCUAAGUCUAAAAUUACCAUACGAAGCUGUUGAGAUCAUCCACGGCCCAUUCCGGGUUGGUUUACCCAAAAGUCCAAUCCCGGUCAAAUUUUUACCGUUCUAACUUCCAAAUAAGGCUUCUUCUCUAAAAUUGACUCUAAACCAUCUGAAAACUGAAUCUCAUCAUGCACGCAAGUCGAUACUCAUGUUUAGAAGAUGCUCCAGACCUUAUGCCGCUGAAUGGAGCUUAAUUUUUCAAAAUGACCAGUUGGGUGGUUACAUCAUCAAUAAUAACAAUACACCCAAUAUCUUUUAACAUGUGUGGGGUCUGGAGAGGAUAGUGUAUACACAAACUUUACUCGUACUUUGUGAAGGCAGAGAAGUUAUUUUCAAUAGAUCCCCUCCGGAGUCUGUACACACCCCCAGUGAGCUCAGGGUACCCAUGGAUCGGGCUACGUGCCGUAGUGGUCAUGUGCAUUGCAUUGCAUUCACGCAUUCACUCUUGUUUGUACUACGUAGCAUGACAUUUAGCACUCAUAUAUCAUUGGCAUACAUACUGCUACUUGCCUUGUUGACCAGAUACCCUGGUGUUAUAUGUUAAGGAGUGCUGCGCCCAAUGGGCAAACUUAUGAGCCGACUUGUUCUAUCUGAUAUAGUAUGCAUAUGCUUAGCUGUUGAGAAAAAACAGAAGAAAAAGGGAUAUUUGUAAAAGAGACUUUGUAAAAGAGAUUUUAUAGCAUUCAUAUGCUGGGCUGUUGAAAAUAAAAGAGAUAUUUGAAAAAGAAACUUUAUGAAAGAGAUUUUGAACCGGUCUUGAGAUUUUCUAAAAGGAUUUUCACAGUAUUUCGGUUUUUCUCAAAGGGUUGUACUGUCUUUUGUAGCAGUUUGGUGUACCCAUAUGUGCUUUCUUAUCGCUCAGAUAUUAUUCUCUCUUAUUACUACUGAGUUGGAAGUAUUCACUUUACUCCCUGCACCUCGCGUGCACUUGCAGGUACUGUUCACUCGGUAGCGGGUUAGUAGCGGAUUGAAGGUAUUGCUAUCGUAGCUAAGCAAGGUGACCGCCGGCGUUCACAGCACCGAGAUUCUUCUUCUUCUUCUUGAUUCCCAGAUUUUACUCUAUGUAUUAUAGACUUGACAAUUUUAAUAAAGACCCUCCUAGAUGCUCAUGACUUGUGACACCCCGGUCCGGACUGUAUUGGGUUGUAUUUAUAUUGAUUAAUAUCAUUUAUUCAUAUUAUAUAACUGACUAACUGCUUUAUGUGGUAUUCUUAAACGGUCUGGCUGGCCUUGUCAUCAUGAGAGACGACAUCACGAUCGAGUUUGGGAAUUGGGUCGUGACAAGUUGGUAUUAGAGCCUAGGUUACCAGGUCUCACGAGUCAUGAGAAGGGUUAAUAGAGUCUCGUGGAUCAGUACGAAGACGUUUGUAAUUAUCCUCGAGAGGCUGCAGAACCUUUAGGAAAACUUCACUUUCUUGGAAUUCUUAUCGUGCGCACUUGAUUCAUCUUGAGAUAUAAUUCUUGAUAUUCCUUGCACACGUCUGUAUAUGCACGCGAGCGCUCAGUAGUAUAUGUGCCUGGAUGGGUUAUGAUUCUCCAAUCGAGGGGCGAUAUGUAAUCUUCGUGAGUUCAUGUUGGGCCAGUCAGGAGGACUUGAGGCUGUAUCUUUGCGUAUGGCAUAAGCACUGAGGUGUUGAUUGUGUGAGCAAGUGUUUUGAACUUAUAUGUUUAGUAAUGUUCUUAUUAGCCGGGUUUGCGGGGGAUAUCCAUGUGAUGAGGAUGUCAGUACUGUGAGGUGUAUCUAUGUGAUUUUAGUAGUGACGAGGAAGUUUGAUGGAUAAUGGACGAGCUGUUAAGUGUUUGUUUUCGAUUGCGGUCUCUUAGUUCGAAAAUGUACAUUUCAGGUGGCGGUAUAAGCUCAGACUCAGAAAAGACUAAUUGAAUGUGUAACAUAUAUGAUGGUGGAAGGCAUGUUGAAAUAUUGAAAUGAGGCGAAGCAGGCGGGUUAUCUCUUGCGGAGUGUUUUGAGGGGUAUGAUACUUGUGUAUGUUAGAAGGUUUCAUGUGUAAUUGAAGGGUAUGUGUUGAAAUUGAGAAUUUGGGGACGCAUAAGAAAUUGGACUCAAGUGAUGCGGAAAUAAAUGCGAGGUUUGCAUAGAAUGUCAGUGCUAGAUGAUCUGUGUAUUCAGAAAUGGACUCAUCUGACGUGGAAAUGAAUGCAAUGUUUGCAGAGAAUGUCAGUGCUAGAUGGUCUGUGUAUUCACAAACUUGUAAAUGACUUGAGUUCAAUCUCACUAUAACAUUGUGGCAUAAUUGGAGUAAAAUUACUAUGAGUUGUUAAGAGUGUCUUGAUAUAUGGCUUCGAGCGAAGUUGGGGAGGUUGUUGUUUGUCAGCUGAUUGCACGGUUAUGUGCAAUGUUGGUUCCGUUUCGAGGGAUGAUGGCAGAUCAGUUGUGGUUGUAUAAAUUGAGUCGAGGAUGGCACGUGUGAUGGAAAAUUUUUACAAAGGUUAUAGGGUACUUUCGCAAAUGUGAGGAAAUAUUAGGGUGUUUUGAGCCGCUGUUGAUAAAGAAUGCUUAGUGUAUAGAGAAGAAAGAUGGUUGUUUGUAUCUGUAUGAAAUCAUGUUCAGCGGUGUCGGGUACUAAUGAGGCACGAGUGGUUCCGUUCAUUCAGGACAUGUGAAUUACCGCUGAAUAAGGGUAAAUGACUCUCGAGAAUGGUUUUACUGUAUUCAAGAUUUUGCAUGUAACAAUCUGGUGCCUUAAGUUUGUGUAUGUGGCUAGGGAAUGUAUUUUCAUUAGAAAGAUCAAGACUUAUGGUACUUUGUAUUAAUCAUGGGAUUCUACGUAUCUGCAUUUGGAAGGUAAUGGUAAACGAAUUCAGAAUCGCAGGAAGUUCUUCAAAGUAAAGUAUUCUGGAAUGUGGUAUUUCUGGGAAACAUUUGAGAGGGUAUUCAGUGGCCUAUGAGUCUUAGACAAUUGAUUUUAUGUGCGAGUCUCGUGUGGUAACUUGGGUUGAGGUAUCGUGGUGCUACAACAAAAGAGAAUAUCAAAUUAAAGAUGAACCGGGAAGGAAAUUGGAUAAAUGGAAUAUCUUGAUAAUAAACCGAAUCAUUAUAGUAGGCAUAUGAUUAAUUAUUGUAUGUGUUCGAGGUAAUGAGCCUUACAGGUAUUGUGCGGCAAAGCUUUUAAGUGCUGGCAGUUUCUUAACUUGGUUUGGGUAGAAGGGUUCAGUCCUGGUAGUUUAACUUGUGCAAUGGAAUUGGGAGAUAAAGUUCGUUUAACUUGGUUUGGGUAGAAGGAUUCAGUCCUGGUAGCUUAGCUUGUGCAAUGGAAUUGGGAGAAAGAGUUCUUGAUGUGUUUUACGUGGUUGGAAAAUGAGUAUAUUUCCCAUGGGUACACGCAAAGCAUACAGUGUGUAAUAAUUUUUUUCUCCUAUAUGGGAUCAUGAAAGUUCUUGACUAGUCGGGUGCAUCGAUGUCUGCGGCGCAUGAGAGAGAUAGAAUUCCUCAUGUUCAUGAUAUGAGGAAUUGAGAUUUGCGUGUUCAUGGUUUUGGUUCAGUCAUAAUGGGGAGUCAUUAAAUUCAUAAGCAGCACGGGCAGUUGCAGGUGAUUUAAGAGUUGAUCUUCAGAUGAUUAAAGAAGAUGGUAUUGCUAUGCUAGUGAUUUAGUGGGGGUUUAUGUACAGAAAAUGGGGCAAGGUAAUGAAAAACUGAUAAUAUUUAGUGGUAUUGCGGUGUUCUCUUGUUGGAUCGACCGUUGAUAAUUGAGUUGUUGAUGGCGCAUGGAAAUACUUUGAUUAUUUUUCGUGGUAGGAAUGGAUACUUGAUGUGUGUUAUGAUUUCGUACGGUGGAGAGUAGGACCAAGUAUUGUGAUUCAUGUGUUAUAUGUGAUGGAGACUAGAAGUUCUCGUGAUCCGACUAUGUAUUGGUUGUAGAUCGUGUGUAUCGACAUCGUCUAGCGGUUAUGGAAAUUGGAGGCUCGAGUGGAUCCUUCUUUGCUUGGUAUGUUAAAUUUGGGUUAUGAUAUUAGAUUGCAGACUGGUUAUCCCAAUGUCAGGUUGUCUAGACUAAUUUGUUAUGGACUAUGUCAGAAAAUGCCACAGAUAGCGUGGCAAGGUGCAUCAGAUUAUGUUCUAGUAGGGUAGCUCGUAUUCCAGAGACCAACGGACGGCUGGCAAGCAUUGCUUUAUUAAUUGGGCCUUCGUGGCAGAUGUCAGUGCAGGGGUUUCUACCAUUGAUUCAGUUCCGGUAUUGAGGUUUCAUAUGCGUUUCUUGUGGCCAGGCAUGAAACUAUAUGUGUUUAUUGUAAUGAGCAAAUUUGGCUCAAUGUGCAUCUCAUUUUGUGAAAUAUAUAUGUGGAUCGGGUGGCACGCCGCCACGGGUAUGUUAUCUGGAUCGGGUUGCACACUGCAAUAGUGUGAUGUUGAGAAUAGUUUUCUAUAUGUUACCUUGUAUGCAUUACUUCUGGGUUUCUGAGGAAGGUCCGUAUUGGGUGUUGCUCGGCGAAUAGCGCAUCGGUUGUGUCCUUUCAGGAUUACAUAGAGUAUAUUACUUAUUUCACCGUGGUGUGAUGGAUUGCAUGGUUUCAGACCUCAAUAUGUGCGUGGCUGAUCGUGUUGAGCAUGGUGACUUGAGGUGCUUCAUGGGUAACAUUGUUUGGAUAGGAUCAUGUAUGGUGGCAAGGCCACGUGAAGUUAUGACCUUUCGAGGAGAAUUUAGGUACUCUAUUUCUACGAUAUGAGAUGGGAUCUCAGUUUUGUGUUGUAACGAUACUGCUUUUUCGUUGAGUCAUUGUCAUAAUUUGAGUAUGUUCAGACUGCUUCUCAUUGGUGCGUGUAUUACGCAAGUUGUGUAUUAGGCAUGCAUCUAGGUAUCAUAUCACCAGAGGGGUGGUUGGAGUUGAAGUGGUCAUUGGAGUCAUAGUACGAACCAAUUUGAUUUCAGCUUGUUAGAAAUGUUAUAUCUAGGUUUGACUCGGAAAUUUGUUGUAGUGACAGUCAAGAGGGAAAUGGAUUCAUGAAUGGUUGAUCUGAGAGAUGGGUUCAUUAUAUCGCGUGUUUCAGUUGCCGUUGGCAGUAUAUGAAAGUGUGGGGAUAAGACUUGGCUAACAAAAAGGGUUUCUAUCGAUAUCCGGUUAUUGUGGGCAAUCAUUGUGAAUGGAAGUUAUCGCUACAUGUAUUUCCGUUGGCAGUAUAUGAAGGUAUAGAAAUGAAACUCCAUCUAACAAGAGAUUUUCUAUCGAUAUUGGUUGUUGAGGGCAGUUGUUGUGAAUGGAAGUUAUCACUGCAUAUAUUUGAGUUAUGUGGGAUAUCAUAUGAUUGCAGCCGAGGUUGCAGGUAUGGAUUAUUACAGUUGGUCCAGGUUUAUUCUGGAUAUAGGCGUGAGUUUUGGAUCUUGUGUAUAACUUCGUAAAGUGUAAUGUUGUCCUAUGGUUUAUGGGUUAGAUGGAAUGUGCAAUUUCAGCUAUGUCGUGUUGUCGAACUUAUAAGAGAUAGGGUUACGUGGGAUCACCCCGGGUAUAUGCUUGGUAAGAUCAUUCAACUAUUGGUUGGCUUCUAAAACAACUCUGGGUACGCUCGAGGACGAGCGAUUGUGUAAGUUAGGGAGGAUGUGAUGACCAGACCCGCCGUCACGUGAGUUACUGCCCCGUUUCCCCCUUAUUGUAUGGAAUCAUGUUUCAAUAUAAGUAUUAGAUUCGAUCGGGUGUAAUUGAAUUGGUUUUGAUUGAAAAUAAGGUACAUAGCCUCUUAGUAGGAAGCUUGUAUUAGAAAAGUCAACCAGAAGUUGACUGUGUUGUUAGAGGGCUCGGAUGUGAAUUCCGGUGGUUUGGUUAGCUUCAGAGGAUGAUUUGUGACUUAGGAGUGCGAUAAGAAUUGAAUUUGGAGGUCCGGUCAAUCUAUAGUUAGUUCUAUCAUUUAAUUUCGGAUUGGAGAUGAAUAUUGGGGAAAGGUUGGAAGAAAGUUCUUAGACACAAAAUUUGACUUUUGUAGAAUUAGGCUUGAAUUGGCGAAGUUUGAAUUUUGGCGGAUUCCGGUUGAUAGGUGAAAUUUUGAUCCGGGGGUCGGAAUGGAAUUCUGAGAGUUUCAGUAGCUACGUUAGGUGACUUUGGAUAUGUUUGCAAAUUCUCAGGUCAUUCACACGUCGUUUGGUUGAGUUUUUGAUCGAAUAUGCAAUUCUAGAGAUUUUUAGAAAUUUAGCCUUUAAAAUGAUCAUAAUUGAGGAUUUUGAUGUUAACGUUAGCGUUUUGAUGAUUCGAGCAAGUUUGAAUGAAGUAUUAGGUUUGGCCCGAGCUUUUGGUUGAAGUCCUGGGGCCUCGGGGUGAAUUCGGGUGGUUGCACGGAGGUUUUUGGAGUUGUUGCAUGAAAAUAAAGUCUGGCUUCUGGUAUUUUCGCUUCUGUAAGAGGAGCCGCAUAGGCAGUUACCGGAGAAGUGGCUCGUUCUCCGCAUAUGCGGCCUGAGGGAGGGUCGGCUUAGAGCGCUGGAGUAGUUUGGGAAUACGCAUAUGCGGCUACUGCAAAAGCGGUAACAGACCGUAGAAGCAGUCAUGGAAUUCAUGAGGGAACCAUAGAAGCGGUCAUCGGAUCGCGGAAGCGGGGACCGGAAAAAGCAGCAUUUUGACCGCAAAAGCAGUCCCGUGUGGUUUAAGUGAGAUUGCAUAAGCGGUUGUGUGGUCACGAAAGCGGUGACCGCAUGUGCGGUCAUUUGACCGCGUAAGCGAAAAUCGACUGGAGUUUUAGGUGAACAGUGUUUCCGAGUUUGAAAGAUAAGGAGAAAAUAUUUGGAACUCGGGGAAGGCGAUUCUUGGGCGAUUUUGAAGGGUUUCGAGGGUUUCCUUCAGGUAAUGAUUCUUGGCCUCGGAUUAUGUUUAUAUGGUGUAAAAAUGUAGAUCAAACACUGAAACUUAAGAAUUUUAAGGCUAAAAAUGGUGGUUUGGGCUUGAAACAUAAGAGAGGUUAAAGUGGUGAUUUGAGGGGUUACAUGGACUCCGAUUCUUGUAAUUUUUAUAUGCACGGACUCGUGCGAGACGAGGAAUCCAAAGAUGUGAUUUUUAGAAAUUUUCGAGAAGUGGGCCCAAGGCUCGGGUUUUGCUAGUUUCGAGAUUUUUGUUAUAUUUCGAUUGUUUUCGAUUGGGUGUUGUCCCAUUAGCAUAUUAUGAUAUAUUCGUACUGAUUUUGGAUAGAUUUAUGCGCAUAGAGGCCGGUUUGAGGAUCAAAGGCGUCGCAGGCUAGAGUUUUUGCAUGUUCGAGGAGAGUAAUACUUGGGAAUGAUAUCCUGAGGGUUUGAAACCCCGAAUUUGCACAACCUAGUGCAGUAUUGUGGUGACUUUCACGCUGGACCUGAGCGUGGGGUAGAACACCGUUGGGGAUUGUGACUUGGUCCGUCCCGGUUGUUGGUUUUUACCGCGAAAUUGUAAAUAGUUUGUUGUUAUCAUUAUGACUUAGUCUUAUUGCCAUACUUGGGGCUUAUUGCUGAUUAUUUGAACUCUUUAUGAACUAUCAUCACGUUUUUCCUCGCUAUCUGAAAUAUUAUUUGAAAUCAGUCCAUGUGAUUUACACUGUUUCAUGAACUCACCUAUAUUUUUCUUUGACUUUGAGUUUUAACUGAUAUCUGAACUAUUGGUUGAGCUGAGUUUUAUUGUUAUAAUAAUGUCGAGGGGCUUUUGACUAUUUUGGACUGAUUGAGGCCGAGGUCCAUAUUUGGGGGCAUGAAGAGUGAUGUAAGGAGUCUUUCAGACCUCGAGUAUUUUGUGUGCAUAUGCAUAUACAUGCAUGGAUCGGACUGCACGACGCAGUAGCAUAUUGCAUGGAUCGGACUGCGCGCCGCAGUAGUAUAUUGCAUGGAUUGGACUGCAAGCGCAGUAGUAUAUUAUAUGGAUCGGAUUGCACGCCGCACUAGUAUAUUAUAUGGAUCGGACUGCACGCCGCAGUAGUAUAUUAUAUGGAUCGAACUGCACGUCGCAGUACUAUAUUGCAUGGAUUGGACUGCACGCCGCAGUAGUAUAUUAUAUGGAUCGGACUGAACGCCGCAGUAUUAUUGCGCUUGGGUUGUAGGAGCCCCCCCGAAGUCUGUACACACCCCCAGUGAGCAUAGGGUACCCAUGGAUUGGGCUACGCGUCGUAGCGGUCAUGUGCAUUGUAUUGCAUUCACUCAUGUUUGUAGUAUGUGGCAUGACAUUUAGCACUCAUAUAUCAUUGACAUACAUAUUGUUACUUGCCUUGUUGACCAGAUACUCUGCUAUUAUAUGUUAAGGAUUGUCGUGCCCAAGGGGCAGACUUAUGAGCCGACUUGUUCUAUUUAAUAUAGCAUUCAUAUGCUGGACUAUUGAAAAUAAAAGAGAUAUUUGAAAAAGAGACUUUGUAAAAGAGAUUUUGAACUGAUCUUGAGAUUUUGUAAAAGUAUUUUCACUGUAUUUUGGUUUUUUUCAAAGGAUUGUUCUGUCUUUUAUAGUAGUUUGGUGUGCCCAUACGUGCUUUCUUGUCGCUAAGAUAUUAUUCUCUCUUUUUACCACUGAGUUGGAAGUACUCACUUUACUCCCUGCACCUCGCGUGCAGUUGCAGGUACUGUUCACCCGAUAGCGGGUUAAUAGCGGAUUGAAGGUAUUGCUAUCGUAGAUAAGCGAUGUGACCGACGGCGUUCACAACACCGAGAUUCUUCUUCUUCUUGAUUCCCAGAUUUUACUCUAUGUAUUAUAGACUUUAAAAUUUUAUAAAAAGACCCUCCUAGAUGCUCAUGACUUGUGACACCCCGGUCGGGCUGUAUUAGGUUGUAUUUAUAUUGAUUAAUAUCAUUAAUUCAUAUUCGAACCGUUAUAUAACUGACUAACUGCUUUAAGUGGUGUUCUGAAAAAGUCUGGCCAAUCUUGUCUUUACGAGAGGCGCCAUCACGACCGGAUUUGGGAAUUGGGUCGUGACAUAUUUCAAGAUUCAUUACUCCUUAAGAGAUACAUAUAAGAUUUCGCAUCGAAUACAUCACUUUGAUGCUUGAGCUGCAACGACGUUCCAACUAAGUUGCUUAUUAUGAUAUAUAUCAUACUUUUUGCAUAAAUCAUAGUUGAAUUAUAAUCUAUUAAUAUUUUAAAUAGAAUAUUUGUAUAAUUUUGUGAUUUUAAUGUAAUUUUUAUUAUUAUUUUUUAUUUUACAUUAUCUUAAAAUUUAUGAAAUUAAUAAAAUUUAUAGAUCUGUGGGACUUACGCCUCGCCUCGCCAGAUGUAAAACAUCUCGGCUCACGCCCCCGCCUUUUACAAUAUUGGUGGCACGCUCUUGAGACUAUUAUUGAAAAUGAAUAACAAGGCUACUAUUAUACAUAUUUAAAGAGAGACAAAACAAAAUGUGUAAACUUUCUUGUAAAUUUGAUAAUCUGAAUAUUUGCGCUUAAGGAAAUUAAAAUUUUCUUCUAACAGAUUAAAAUCAAAUUUUAAGUAAUUUAUUGUCUUUUAAAUAUAAAAAAUGAUAAAUCUAUUGAAACGAACUGACCCGUCGUCACGCGAAUUACCGUCCCGUUUUUCUCAUUUUAUGCCUUCAUAUUUUUCAAUAAUGUAUUUGGAGAGGUUGAAGUAAUUCGGAUGGAGUUCUGAUAGAAAUGAAGCAAUUAGUCUCUUGAUGAGAAGGUUAGUUAGGGAAAAAGUCAACCGAACAUUGACUUAUGAGUUAAAGGGACUGGAAUGGAUUUCCGAUGAUUCAACUAGUUUCGGAUGGUGAUUUGUGACAGGAGUGAAAUCAGAACUGAAUUUGGAGGUCCGGUGUAGAAUUAGGCUUGAAUUGGCUAAGUUAGAAAUUUGGCGAAGUCCGGUUGAUAGGUGAAAUUUUUAUCCGGGGGUCAGAAUGGAAUUCUGACAAUUGAAGUAGCUCCGUUAGGUGAUUUUGGAUAUGCAUACAAUAUUUCCGAUCAUUUGGAGGUGUUUAGGUCUGGUUUUGGAUCAAAUGUAAGUUUCGGAAGUUUUAGUUUAACUUAGGCUUGAAUCCAUGGAAAUUCGAAUAUUUUUAUGUUUAUGAUAGUGUUUUUAUGUUACGAGCAAGUUUGAAUGAAGUAAUAAGAUGUAUUUGUGCUUUUGGUUGAGGUCCCAAGGGCCUUGGGGUAAUUUUGGAAGGUUGAGCGGAAGGUUUUUGGACUUAGGAUGUUACAGAAAAACUGUUGGUGUGUUACAUAGAUAUUGACCAAUGCGAUCACAUAGGGUGCAUUGCGAUUGCAUAGGAGGAUCAGGAAGGGGUUCAAUUUUGCUCUAUGCGAUCACAGGGGGAGCAUUGCGAUCACAUAGGUUGGGCAAGUUGGUAUGUGCGUUCGCAUAAGGGGCUGUGCGAUCGCGUAGUGUAGUUUAGGCUGGGGUCCCUGGCAAAGGAUUGUACUAUGCAAUCGCACAGUGUAGAGUGCGAUCGCAUAGGAGGAAAUUAGGGAGGCUGGAGUUUGGCCUAUGCAAUCACAUAGAGGAAAGAACUGGGCAGACAUAAUGUUUUAAGGGUUAUUUUACCCGCAACUUAAACAUAUUUUCCUCCAUUUAUAAGCAACCAAAGGAGCUGUUUGAGUGAUUUGAAGUGUGAUUUCAGCGGGUAUCGAUUGGAGGUAAGUUUUUUGAAUUGAAACUGCCAUUUUUAGGAAGAAUCAAUCCCUAAUUCCAUGAAAUUGUGUAGAAAUUGUGAAGAACUAGGUCUUAAUUUUAAAAACGAAUUUUGGGGAUUGAAGGGUCAAACGGACUCCAUUUUUGGUGAACUUUAUAUGUACGGACUCGUGGCGAGACGAGGAAUCCAAAGAUGUAAUUUUCAGAAUUUUUCGAGAAGUGAGCCCUGGGCUCGGGUUUUACCAACUUCGUGAUUUUUAAUGUUUUUCGAAUUAUUUCGAUUGGGUUAUGUUUAUUUAACCUAUAAUAACAUAUUCGUUGUGGUUUUGAAUAGAUUCGAUGCUCGUAGAGGGAGAUUCUUCGAAUUAUUUCGAUUGGGUUAUGUUUAUUUAACCUAUAAUAACAUAUUCGUUGUGGUUUUGAAUAGAUUCGACGCUAGUAGAGGGAGAUUCAAAGGGAAAAGGCAUUGCAGACCAGUCUACGACUGGUUAAGGGUGAGUAGUUUGUAUAGAUGAUGGACUGAGGGUUUGAAACCCCGGUUUAUCACAUCGUGAUGCUAUGAUAGGGCGUGACUCGCACCCCAUGGCAGGUGCGGGAUGGUAUAUGAUUGGGGAUUGUGAUUUGGUCCAUCCCGAGAGCUGAAUAAAAUUAUUGGCGUCCGAUACGCACAUUGUGUUGUUGAUAAUUGGGCUCAAUUCCAUGUUUGGGGCCUCGUGUCGAUCUGUAGCAUCCGUCUAGGAUAAAUAUCAUCGUGAUAGUAUGAUUUGAAAAAUCAUUGAUCUCAAUCCUGUGUUUAAUCACUGUUAUUAAUGCUAAGUCACCCUUUUCAUGAAAUAAAUUAACGAAGUCAUAUUCACCUUAAUAAUUGGAAAAGGAAGGGAAAUUAGAUUGAAUAUGUUUUGUGACUCAUAUGCAUACUGUGGACUGAGCAUGGGUCGGGCUGCACGUCGCAGCGGUGAUAUAUUGAUAUUGAUCUUGGGAUGAAGGAGCCCUUCCAGAGUCUGUGCACACCCCCUGUGAGCAUCGUCGACGUUAAACGAAUCGGGCUACACGUUGUAGCGUAUUCACUUACAUUGCAUUGCUUCUUUAUCUCAUAUUUGGUUGCUGUUGUGAUAAUGUUUUGCUGUUAGUUCGUUGCUAAGUCAUAGGAUUGUUAGUUAUAUCUUUGCUUUGUGGUAUUUUGUGGAUUUUGUUUCUUUUAGACAUUUUCUAUGCUUAUUAUUCACUGAGUCGGUAGUACUCACGCCUACUCCUUGCAUCUUGUGUGCAUAUUCAGGUACACUGGAGGCUAGCUGAUACUCGUAGUCUCCAGAGAUAUUCCCAGAGUCGUUGAGGUAUUGUCAUGACGUUCGCAGGACCUGGUUGCUCUUUAUUUUUUCUCAAUUCAUUAUAAUUAUAUUCUUUUCCAGAUUUUUAUAUUGUUAUUCAGAUACUUUUAUUAUUACUCAAUUAUGUUAGAGGCUCUAGACUCGUGACCCCAGAUCUUAUGGGUGUGUUAUUGGUUUUUUCGUACUUAUAUAUAUUACUCUAUUAAUAUUCUUGGAUAAUAUUCUUAAAUUUGUUAGUUUUGAGUUUUAGUAUUAAGUUAAAAGCGAUUUUUGGUGAGGCUUACCUAGCCUUAGGGUUGGGUGCCAUCACGACCGGGUUUGGGUCGUGACAAGUUGGUAACAGAGCCUAGGUUACUAAGCCUCACGAGUCAUGAGCUGGUUUAGUAGAGUCUUGUUUAUGGGUGUGUCAUCCACCACACUUAUAAGCAGCAGGCUACAGAACUGUUAGGAAACACUUCACUUUCUUGAAUUCAUAUCGUGCGGUUUGUUAACGUGACAAACUAAAUCUCUGUAUUCUAUUCUCUCGCAGAUGGAGAUAAACCGUGCUAAUGGACAUGGUGGACGACCACCAGUACCACCUGCUAGAGGCUGUGGAUGGGUCGUGGUGCUGGACGGGGCAGACCAGCAGGGGAAGCACCUACAGACCUAUCAGUUGCUUUGGUCCAUGAUCAGCCUCCAGCUAUUGAUGCUCCAGUAACACCUAUUCAGGCACCGGUAGUGCCCAUCGUGAUUCCUGGUCUUCAGGAGGCUUUGGCUCAGAUUUUGUCAAUCUGCACUGGCCUGGCUCAGGCGGUUUCGACCACUACAGCAGCGGCUACUUCUAAGACUGGGGGUGGUCAUCAGAUACCCGAUGCUUGCACUCCCGAGCAGGUUGUUCAGGACUUACAGACACCUGGGGUAGCUCCAAUUCCGCCAGUUCAGCCAGUUGCACCAGUUCAGCCAGUUGCGUCGAUUGUUCCUGCCACAGCUCAUAUGGUUCCUAUUAUGCCAGAUGACGAGCAGCAGCAUUUGGAGAGGUUUGGUAGGCUCCAACCUCUGACAUUUAGUGGUGCUGAGGGCGAGGAUGCCCAGGGUUUUAUUGAUAAAUUCCAGCGGAUGCUUCGUACUACGGGUAUUCUGAGUCUAAUGGAGUGACUUUUACCACCUUCCAGCACACAAGAGCUGCAUUUACUUGGUGGGAAGAGUUCAAGAGGCGUAGGCCUAUUAGGGCAGCGCCCCUCACUUUGCAGCAGUUCUCCACGGUGUUUUUGGAGAAGUAUGUGCCCUAGUCUCACAGGGAGGAGCUGCGUCGUCAGUUCGAGAGGUUAACUCAGGGAGAUAUGUUAGUGACUCAGUAUGAGCUGCGGUUUACACAGCUAGCUAGGCAUGCUAUGUGGAUGAUCCCGACAGAUAGAGAGAAGAUCAGGAGGUUUAUAGAUUGCCUCAACUAUCUAUUCCUUAUAUUGAUGACUUGAGAGGGCUACAACAGCUACAUUUGAGGAGGUUGUUGAUGCUGCUCGACUGAUUGAGACAGAUUGCCAUUGGGAGCAUGUGGAGAGGGAGGCCAAGAGACCUCUAGGUUCAUGUAAUUUUAGCGGUGCUCAGUCUAGGGGCCAGUACAGCUACAUUUGAAGAGGUUAUUGAUGCGGCUCGUCUGAUUAAGAUAGAUCACCGCCGGAGCGUGUGGAGAGGGAGGCCAAGAGGCCUCGAGGUGCAGGUAAUUUCAGCGGCGCUCCGUCUAGGGGCCAUUUCUAGGAGGGCAAAGGUCGUUCCUUCAGACCUCCUCAGUUCGGACGCACAGAGUCCAGUGGAGCCUCAUCAGGCCGGGGCCAUCAGGGUCAUCAGCAGAGUCAGCCUGCACUGAGUGCUCUUCCAGCUUAGAGCUCUGCUCCUACUCCGCUAGCUCAGGGUUCGUCCGCAAUGAGGGGUUCUCAUCAGUCCCCUUCUCUAGCUUCAGUUCAUUGCUAUGAAUUUAGUGAGUUGGGUCACAUGAGGAGACAUUGUCCUCGACCCUGCAGUAGGCAGUCUCAGUAGAGGGAUCAACCUACGUUUUCUGCACAGGUUUCUUCAGCUCCCACUCAGACAACCAGGGGUGGAGGCCAGGCAGCCAGAGGUCGCCCCAGGGGUGAGGACCGUAUUAGCGGUGGCCAGGCUCGUUUCUAUGCCCUUCCAGAUCGGAGGGACGUUAUUGCCUCGGAUGCAGUUAUUACAUGUAUCAUCUCAGUAUGCCACAUGAAUGCUUCUAUUUUAUUUGAUCCCGGAUCUACCUAUUCAUAUGUAUCCUCUUAUUUUGCUCAUCAUUUGGGUACGACACGUGGUUGUCUUGCCUUUCCCGUGCACGUAUCUACCCCGUGGGUGAUACUAUUAUACUGGAUCAUGUGUAUCGAUCCUGUCUGGUGACUAUUGGGGUUCUGGAGGCCCGAGUUGAUUUAUUAUUAUUGGGCAUGAUGGAUUUCGAUGUAAUUUUGGGUAUGGAUUGGCUAUCUCCAUACCAUGAUAUUUUGGACUGUCAUGCUAAGACAAUUACCCUAGCUAUUCCGGGUAUUUCGAGGAUUGAGUGGCGAGCCGUGACUGAUUAUGUACCUAUCAGAGUGAUUUAUUUCUUAAAAUCCCAACGGAUGGUUGGCAAAGGGUAUUUAUCAUAUUUGGCUUUCGUGAGAGAUGUAGAAACCGAGGCUCCUAGCCUUGAUUCGGUUCCCGUUGUUAGGGAUUUCCCUGACAUGUUUCCAUCGAACUUGCCAGAUAUGCCACCGGACAGGAACAUUGAUUUCGGAAUUGAUCUGGUGCCAAGCACUCAGCCCAUCUCUAUCCCUCCCCAUCGUAUGGCACCAACAGAGCUAAAGGAGUUGAAGGAAUAGAUUCAGGAACUCCUACAUAAGGGAUUUAUUUGCCCAAGUGUGUCACCCUGGGGUGCACCGGUAUUAUCUGUAAAGAAGAAAGAUUGCACAAUGAGAAUGUGCAUUGACUACAGACAGCUGAAUAAGGUGACUGUGAAUAACAAGUACCCACUAUCCCGUAUUGAGGAUUUAUUUGAUCAGCUCCAAGGAGAAAGGGUAUUCCAUAAGAUUGACCUUCAAUCGGUUCAUCACCAGCUGAAUAUUAGGGAUUCAGACAUUAUGAAGACGGCUGUCAGGACGAGAUAUGGGCACUACGAGUUUCUAGUGAUGUCUUUCGGGCUGACUACUGCCCCAGCGGCGUUCAUGCACUUGAUGAACAAUGUAUUUCGGCCUUAUCUGGAUUCAUUUUUUAUCGUGUUCAUCGAUGAUAUUCUGGGGUAUUCACGUAGCCAGGAGAAGCACACACAACACUUGAGUGUGGUCUUGCAAAGAUUGAGAGAGGAGAAACUAUUUGCAAAGUUCUCUAAGUGUGAAUUCUGGCUUGAUACUGUGACUUUUCUGGGACACGUGGUGUCCCGUGAUGUCAUUCAGGUUGACCCAAAGAAGGCUGAGGCGGUGCAAAUUUGGCCCAGACCGUCCUCAGCUACGGAGAUUCAGAUUUUCAUCGUUUUGGCGGGUUAUUACCGCAGAUUCAUUCAUGGUUUUUCAUCUAUUGCUUCGCCUUUGAUGAAGUUGACUCAGAAGAAUGCUCCAUUUGUGUGGUCGGAUGAAUGCGAGGAGAGCUUCCAAAAGCUCAAGUCGGCUUUGACCACCGCUCCAGUAUUANNNNNNNNNNNCAUCUAUUGCUUCGCCUUUGAUGAAGUUGACUCAGAAGAAUGCUCCAUUUGUGUGGUCGGAUGAAUGCGAGGAGAGCUUCCAGAAGCUCAAGUCGGCUAUGACCACAACUUCGGUAUUAGUAUUACCAUCAGCUUUAGGCUCUUACACAGUGUAUUGUGAUGCCUUGAGAGUUGGGAUCAGUUGUGUGUUGAUGCAGUAGGGUAGAGUUAUUGAGUAUGCUUCUCGUCAUCUAAAGCCCCAUGAGAAGAACUACAAUGUUUAUGACUUAGAGUUAGCUUCGAUUGUGCAUGCCUUGAACAUUUGGAGGCAUUAUCUUUAUGAUGUGUCUUGUGAGGUAUAUACAGACCAUCGCAGUCUUCAGCACCUGUUUAAACAGAAAGAUCAUAAUCUGAGGCAGUGAAGAUGGCUGGAGUUACUUAAAGACUAUGAUAUUACCAUUUUGUAUCAGCCCGGGAAGGCCAACGUGGUGGCCGAUGCUUUGAGCCAGAAGGCUAUUAGCAUGGGUAGUAUGGCGUACAUUCCAGUUGGGGAGAGGCCCCUUGCGGUAGAGGUUCAGGCCUUGGCCAAUCAUAUGGUGAGGUUAGAUAUUUCCGACCCCAGUCGGGUGUUGGCAAGUGUGGUUUCCCGGUCUUCUUUAUAUGACCGCAUCAAAGAGUGGUGGUAUGAUGACCCGUAUUUGCUUAUCCUGAAUGAUAGGGUCCGUCAUGAUGAUGCCAAAUAUGUGACCAUUGGAGAUGAUGGUGUAUUGCGGAUGCAGGGCCGGAUUUGCGUGCCCAAUAUAGAUGGUCUCUGGGAGUUGAUAUUAGAAGAGGCUCACAACUCGCGAUAUUUGAUUCAUUCGGGUGCCGAGAAGAUGUAUCAAGAUUUGAGACAGCAUUACUGGUUGAUGAGGAUGAAAAAAGACAUUGUGAGUUACGUGGCUCGGUGUCUCAACAGUCAGCAAGUCAAAUAUGAGAACCAGAGACCCGGUGGGGUUUUUUAGCGGAUGGAUAUUCCAGAGCAGAAAUGGGAGAAUAUUACUAUGGAUUUUGUGAGUGGUCUUCCUCGUACCUUGAAGAAGUUUGAUUUGGUUUGGGUGAUUGUGGAUAGGAUGACCAAGUCCGCGCACUUCAUUCCAGUAUGUACUACCUAUUCGGCGGAGAAGUUAGGAGAGAUUUUCAUUCAGGAGAUUGUACGGUUGCAUGGAGUCCCAGUUUCCGUUGUAUCAGAUAGGGGUACCGUGUUUACUUCCCAAUUCUGGAGGACUUUUCAUCGGGAAUUGGGAAUGCAGGUGCAGCUGAGCACAACAUUUCAUCCACAGAUGGAAGGGCAGUCCGAACGUACAAUCCAGAUAUUGGAGGACAUGUUGUGUGCCUGUGCUAUUGAUUUUGGAGGUUCUUGGCUAAAUUCUUACCACUUGCAGAGUUUGCAUAUAAUAACAGCUAUCAAUCCAGCAUUCAGAUGACGCCGAAUGAGGCCUUACAUGGGAGACGGUGUAGAUCUCCUGUGUGUUGGUUAUAGCCUGGCGAGGCUAGGUUAUUGGGGACAGAGUUAGUUCAGGAUGCCUUAGAGAAGGUGAAAGUAAUCCAGGAGAGACUUUGUACAUCUCAAUCAUGUCAGAAGAGUUAUGCGUACCGAAAGGUUCGAGAUCUAUCUUAUGCCGUGGCGAGAAGGUCUUGUUGAAGGUUUCACCUAUGAAGGGCAUUAUGAGGUUUAGGAAUAAAGGGAAGCCGAGUCCAAGGUUCAUUGGACCUUUUGAAGGACUUAGGAGGAUUGGGGAGGUGGCCUAUAUGCUUGCCUUGCCACCUAGCUUGUCGGGAGUUCAAAACUGAUCUAGGAGAGACUUCGUACAGCUCAGUAGCGUCACAAGAGUUAUGUGGACUGAAAGGUUCGAGAUGUAUCUUAUGUAGUGGGCGAGAAGGUCUUGCCAAAGGUUUUGAAUAGCUUUAUGAGGUUUGGGAAGAAAGGGAAGCUGAGUCCAAGGUUCAUUGGGACUUGUGAGAUACUUAGAAGGAUUGGGGAGGUGGCAUAUAUGCUCGCGUUGCCACCUAGCUUAUCGGGAGUUCAUCUGGUGUUUCGUGUUUCUAUGCUCCGGAAGUAUGUUGGUGACCCGUCUCAUGUGUUAGACUUCAGCACGAUCCAGUUAGAUGAAGACUUGACCUAUGAUGUGGAGCUGGUGACCAUUUUGGGUCGCCGGAUUCGAAAGCUGAGAUCUAAGGACAUAGCGUUGGUGAACGUGCAGUGGAGAGGUCUAAACGUGGAGUAAGCCAUUUGGAAUACCGAGCAAGAGAUGCGGAGCACAUAUCCCCACUUGUUUGAUACUCCAGGUAUAUUUCUUGUAUCGCUCGAGGACGAGCGUUUGUUUAAGUUGGGGAGGAUGUAACGACCUGACCCGUCGUCCCAUGAAUUACCGCCCCUUUUUCCCCAUUUUAUACCUUCAUAUGUUUCAAUAUAUGUAUUUGGAGAGGUUGAAGUAAUUCGGAUGGAUUUUAGAUAGGAAUGAGACAAUUAGUCUCUUGAUGAGAAGGUUAGUUAGGGACAAAGUCAACCGAACAUUGACUUAUGAGUUAGAGGGCUCGAAAUGGAUUUCCGUUGAUUCGAAUAGUUUCGGAUGGUGAUUGUGACUUAUGAGUGAAAUCAGAACUGAAUUUGGAGGUCCGGUGUAGAAUUAGGCUUGAAUUGGCUAAAUUAGAAAUUUGGCGAACUCCUGUUGAUAGGUGAUAUUUUGAUCCGGGAGUCGGAAUAAAAUUCUGACAAUUGCAGUAGCUCCGUUAGGUGGUUUUUGAUAUGUGUGCAAAUGGGUAAGAUUUUGAUCAAGAUUCAAAUGGAAUUCCGAUAGUUGCAGUAGCUCCGUUAGGUGAUUUUGUAUAUGCUUGCAAAUUUUUAGAUCAUUCGGAGGUGUUUAGGUCGGGUUUUGGAUCAAAUGCAAUUUUCGUAAGUUUUAGCAUAACUUAGGCUUGAAACUGUGGAAAUUAGAAGAUUUUGAUGUUUAUGAUAGUGUUUUUAUAUUGCGAGCAAGUUUGAAUGAAAUAAUCAGAUAUAUUUGUGCUUUUGGUUGAGGUCCCGAGGGCCUCGGGGUAAUUUACGGAAGGUUUUUGGACUUAGGAUAUUGCAGAAAAACUGCUGGUGUGUUGUAGAGAUAUUGCCCUAUGCGAUCGCAUAGGGUGCAUUGCGAUCGCAUAGGAGGAUCAGGAAGGAGUUCAAUUUUUCUCUAUGCGAUCGCAGGGGGAGCAUUGCGAUCGCAUAGGUUGGGCAGGUUGGUCUGUGCGUUCGCAUAAGGGACUGUGCGAUCGCGUAGUGUAGUUUAGGCUGGGGUCCCUGGCAAAGGUUUUUACUAUGUGAUCGCAUAGAGGAGAGUGCGAUCGCAUAGGAUGUGCGAUCGCGUAGUGUAGCUUAGGCUGGGGUCCCUGGCAAAGGUUUGCGCUAUGCGAUCGCAUAGUGGAGAGUGCAAUCGCAUAGGAGGAAAUUAGGGAGGCUGGAUUUUGACCUAUGCGAUCGCAAUAGUGGUGAUGCGAUCGCAUAGAGAAAAGAACUAGGAGGACAGAAUAUUUUAAGGGUUAUUUCACCUGCGACAUAAACAUAUUUUCCUCCAUUAUUAAGCAACCAAAGGAGCUAUUUGAGCGAUUUGAAGUGUGAUUUUAGCGAGUAUUAAUUGGAGGUAAGUCUCUUGACUUAAAAACGCAAUUUCUAGGAAGAAUCAACCCCUAAUUCCAUGAAAUUGUGUAGAAAUUGUGAAGAACUAGGUCUUAGUUUUUAGAAACAAAUUUUGGGGAUUUUAAGGGUCAAACGGACUCUAUUUUUGGUGAAAUUUAUGUGUACGGACUCGUGAAAAGGCAAGGAAUCCAAAGAUGUAAUUUUCAAAAUUUUUCGAGAAGUGCGCCCGGGGCUCGGGUUUUACCAACUUCGUGACUUUUAAUGUUUUUCGAAUUAUUUCGAUUGGGUUAUGUUUAUUUAACCUAUAAUAACAUAUUCGUUGUGGUUUUGAAUAGAUUCGAUGCUCGUAGAGGGAGAUUCGUAAUUGAAUUUGGAGGUCUGUUGUAGAAUUAGACUUGAAUUGGCGAAGUUCGUAUUUUGGCGAAUUCCAGUUGAUAGAUGAAAAGGCAUUGCAAACCAGUCUACGACCGGUUAAUGGUGAGUAGUUUGUAUAGAUGAUGGCCUGAGGGUUUGAAACCCCGAUUUAUCAUAUUGUGACGCUAUGUUAGGGCGUGACUGGCACCCCAUGGCAGGUGCGGGAUGGUAUAUGAUUGGGGAUUGUAACUUGGUCCAUCCCGAGAGCUGAAUAAAGUUAUUGGCGGCCGGUACGCACAUUGUGUUGUUGAUAAUUGGGCUUAAUGCCAUGUUUGGGGCCUUGUGCCGAUCUGUAGCAUCCAUCUAGGAUUAAUAUCAUUAUGAUAGUAUGAUUUGCAAAACCAUUGAUCUCAGUCCUAUGUUUAAUCAAUGUUAUUAAAUUCUAAGUCACAUUUUUCCUUAAAUAAAUUAACGAAGUCAUAUUCACCUUAAUAAUUGGAAAAAAUGGGAAAUUAGAUUGAAUAUGUUAUGUGACUCAUAUGCAUACUGUGGAAUGAGCAUGGGUCGGGCUGCACGCCGCAGCGGUGAUAUAUUGAUAUUGCGCUUGGGCUGAAGGAGCCCCUCUGGAGUCUGUACACACCCCCAGUGAGAGCAUGGGUCGUGCUGCACACCGCUGCGGUGAUAUAUUGAUAUUACGCUUGGGUUGAAGGAGCCCCUCCGGAGUCUGUACACACCCCUAGUGAGCGCGGUUGACGUUAAAUGGAUCGGGCUGCACACCCCAGCGUAUUCAUGUGAAUUGAAUUGCAUCUUUAUCUGAUAUUUUGUUGCUGUUGUAAUACUAUUUUGCUGUUAGUUCGUUGCUAAGUUAUAUGAUUGUUAGUUAUAGCUUUGCUUUGUGGUAUUUUGUGGAUUUCUUACUUUCAGACAUUUUCUAUGCUUAUUAUUCACUGAGUCGGUAGUACUCACCCCUACUCCCUGCNNNNNNNNNNNNNNNNNNNNNNNNNNNNNNNNNNNNNNNNNNNNNNNNNNNNNNNNNNNNNNNNNNNNNNNNNNNNNNNNNNNNNNNNNNNNNNNNNNNNNNNNNNNNNNNNNNNNNNNNNNNNNNNNNNNNNNNNNNNNNNNNNNNNNNNNNNNNNNNNNNNNNNNNNNNNNNNNNNNNNNNNNNNNNNCAUUCCCUGCACCUUAUGUGCAGAUUCAGGUACACCGGAGGCUAGCUGAUACUCGUAGUCUCCAGAUACUUUUAUUAUUACUCAGUUAUGUUAGAGGCUCUACACCCGUGACCCCAGAUCUUAUGGGUGUGUUAUCGGUUUUUUUCGUACUUAUAUAUAUAUUACUCUAUUAAUAUUCUUGGAUUAUAUUCUUAAAUUUGUUAGUUUUGAGACUUAGUAUUAAAUUGAAAGCGAUUGUUGGUCAGGCUUACCUAGCCUUAGGGUUGGGUGCCAUCACGACCAAGUAUGGUCGUGACAUCUCUCUCUCUAUAUAUAUAUAUAUUAAAGCAAAUAAGUUUGCAUUCUAAUUUAGCCAAGUGUCAAAUUAUUAGAAUGCCAAGUAACAACAUAUUAAAAUGACACAUGGCAACUUAAUUUAUUAAUACUUAUUACUAUUAAAAUGCAAGAUUUAACACCCAUAUUUUUCAGCAUAAUUGAGUUAUUAAAACGCAAGAUUUAAAAGCACGUUUUUCGGAAUUUCUUUUUGUAUAAUUGAGUCAACAUAUGCGUAUGACAAAGCCCUCCAAUUACGCCUAAAAAUUUGGACUGUUAUUAAUUACAAGUUUUUAUAUCUAUAUUUAUAGAUAUUUAAUAUUUAAUAAUAUUUAAUAUUUAAUGAUAUUUAAUAUUUAGGUAUGAGAAACCCUUGUCAAAAAUCUGGACUGAUUAAACUUGGGAUUGCAAUUAGGCCGAAAAAUUGGACUCAAUUACGAGUAAUCUGUAUAUUUAAUAAUAUUUAAUAUUUAAUUCUCUCUAUAUAUUUAGAUAUUUAAUAUUUAAUAAUAAAAAUAUUUAAUAACGUAUAUCCCAUUUAAACGGAGAAUCCCAUUUUCUUCAUUUCAUCAUUAAACAUGAUCUCUCUAUACAAAUUAGGAAUUUCAAAAAGCUUAAAGUUAAUUAAUAACGUAUAUCCCAUUUAAAUGUGGAAUCCCAUUUUCUUCGCUUCAUCUGUUUUUUGUGAUCUCUCUAUACAAAUUGGGAAUUUCAAAAAGUUUAAAACUAACCCGAAAAAUAUGUUCCGCAAUUUUAUUGGAUGUGGAUAUAGAGAGAGAAUAGGAGACAUUCAAAUGUGAAAUUAGUCCAUCGCGAGGAGACAUUCAAAUCUGAAGAUGAUUUUUCUGGUCGUUUGUUCUCAUCUUUUUCGCAUCGCAUCUGAAGACGGCGACAUCUACGCCAUGUAUUUCGGGAUAACAACUAAUUGUGGAAUCCCAAAUGCAUAUGCCUCUAUUUUAUAGAUCUUUUUAUGAAAAAGAUAUAUAUAGUAAAAAGAUCUCUCUAUACAAAUUGGGAAUUUCAAAAAGCUUAAAUAACGUAUAUCCCAUUUAAAUGGGGAAACCCAUUUUCUUCGCUUCAUCUUUCUUUUUUUUUUUUGUGAUCUCUCUAUACAAAUUGGGAAUUUCAAAAAGCUUAAACCUAACCCGAUAAAUAUGUUCCGCAUUUUUGUUGGAUUUGGAUACAGAGAGAGAAUAUGAGACAUUUAAAUGUGAAAUUAGUCCAUAGCUAGGGGACAGUCAAAUCUGAAGGUGAUUUUUCCGGUCUUUUGUUCUCAUUUUUUUUCGCAUCGCAUCUGAAGACGGCGAUAUCUACGCAAGGUAUUUCGGGAUAACAACUAAUUGUGGAAUCCCAAAUGCAUAUGCCUCUGUUUUACGGAUCUUUGUAUGGAAAAUAUAUUGUUGAUACAAAAAUUACCGAUUCCGUAUAUAUAUAUAUAUAUAUAUAUAUAUAUAUAUAUAUAUAUAGUAACUGAAUUAUUUUGUAAUUACUUACUAUUUAGGGUUUAUUUUUUCAUACAAAAAAUUACUGCAUUCCAUAUAUAUAUAUACACACACAUAUAAGUGUGUGUGUGUAUCGCAUUUGAUGCCAUUUGACAGACAAUCCUCUUGUAAAGUUUUUUCUAAGAAGAAAUAUAAUGGCAUUUGGCUAUAUUUGCAAUAUAUCGAGUAACAAGAUGAAUUGAAAUUUGAAGGUACGAAUAGUGAGAUUGUGGCACAUUCCAGAACACGACAAACCGGAUAACACCGUCUCCCUUGAAUUAUUUAUUCAAGACGAAAAGGUGCAUUCUUUUUUAGUUGCACUUAUUUUUUCAUACAAGUUUGACUACAAUCUCCAUCAUCUGCUUUGUACUAUAAAAUUCAUUACGUUAAACAUGUAUUUAAUCAACUUCAAUUUAGAUUAGUAUUUACCAUCAAAUAUGUUGUAUGCGUUAUUUUGGAAAGGCAAGCAUGCACAUAUUAUGUUUUACCCAUUGAUGCUUCGUUUUUAAUAUACUCUGCGACCACACUGUACAACUGAGUAUUUGUCUAACUCAAUAUUAAUUAUGAAUUUUUUGAUUUUAGGGCGAUCGCAUUCAUGCGACUGUUGAUCGAUCACUUAUAUGUAUGUUCAAACCAAAGUUAAAAGAAUUAGGUUUGUACGUUAUGAAGAACUUUGUGGUUGGACCAAAUUAUACGAAUCUUGAAUACACACGACAUAAAUUAAAGUUGGCAUUUACUCAUAAGACAAUUCUAGUGGAAGCAAAUGAUCAUCUUUUUUGUAUAACUAUCUUCGACUUAAAAUCUUAUGAGUAUUUGAUAAACAAAAUUAAUGUUGAAGAAAGUGAACUCUUUGGUAAGUAUUCAAUUCGCAGUGUUUUUAUUUGAAUGUCUUACAAACUUUCUCUUGGCUAUUUUUUUAAAUUAUUAUAAAUGUCAUUGGAGAUGUUGUAAGUUAUAGUGAGAUAGAAUCUCAUAACCAAGGUGAUAAAAUCAGCAAUUAUAUGCAUGUGGAACUUGAAAAUCAUGAGUAAGACUACGUCUAUGGAUUUACUUUGUUAUAUAUUUUAACAUCAUUACAUAUCAUUGUCUGAUUAAAUUGUUAUAUAUUAACAUGAUUAUGGUCGUUGUCUAAUUAAGUUGUUAUAGAAAUUACACAGGAGGAAUAAUAUCUCGGCAACAUUUUGGGAAGAAUUCACUGACCAAAUCUUGUGUCAUUUACAGGGAUCACCCCAUCAACGGGUCAUAAUUGUUAUGAAGUUGAUAAAAGCUCACAAAUUUAAAGGUAUUUUUAUUGUAUUGAUGUUAUUGGAUAUUUUUUUUAUGUUAAGUUUCUGGUUCAGAAACUAAAGUUAUAUAUAGGCAAAUAUUCUAUGUGCAAUAACUGGCAUGCCUUAAAGCUCUGGAUUAACCCGGAUCUUCCUCAAGCUAUUGAUUUUAAGUCGAGGUUAGUUACUUCACGUGACGAACCGACCUGUCGCCUCAUGUGUUACUACUCUAUUUCCCCCAUGUUAGGCUUCUUCAUAUAUUUUUAUCGAUAUAUGGUAUGUUAGAGUUGGUUUGGACUGGUUUUGAUAAGAAAUGAGACACUUAGUCUCUUUAAGCAAGACUUAAGUAGGAAAAGCCAAUCGGACGUUGAAUAGUGAGUUAUAGGGUUCGAAUGUGAUUUCCAAUGAUUUGGUUAGCUUCGAGGAAUGAUUUGUGACUUAGUAGAGUGAUCGUAAUUGAAUUUGGAGGUCUGUUGUAGAAUUAGACUUGAAUUGGCGAAGUUCGUAUUUUGGCGAAUUCCAGUUGAUAGGUGAGAUUUUGAUCUGAGGGUCGGAAUGGAAUUACGAGAGUUGCUGUAGCUUCAAUAUAUGAUUUGUGAUGUGUGUGAAAAUUUUCAGGCCAUUCGGAGGUAUUUAGGUUGGAUUUUUGAUUGAAUGUGCAAUUCGGAAGUUUUUAAGAAACUUAGGCCUUGAUUUGAGGAUAUUUGAGGAUUUUGAUGUUAGCGAUAGUAUUGAAGGUUCGGACAAGUUUGAAUAAGUUAUUAGAUCAUGUCCGCACUUUUGGUUGAGGUCCCGGGGGCCUCGGGGUAAGAUCGGGUGUUAAAACGAGAAGCUUUUGAAGUUGGUUUCAGGUUUGUUUUGGUGUUAGCUGGUAUUUCCGCUUCUGCGGAAAUGGAUCGCAUAAGUUGUUCCGAAGAAGCGAGUGAAGAAGCAGAGAUGCAAGUUUGGAAGGAGUUGAGGAGUUCCGCAAAAGCGGAACAUGGUAGUGUUAGCGGGUCCGCAUGAGCGAAUAUCGACCGCAGAAGCGGACUCAGAGAUCCGCAGAAGCGGACUCAGGGAUCCGCAGAAGCGCAUUUCUGUGUCGCAGAAGCGGUCGUGGGAAAUUAAGUGAAGAACUGCAUAAGCAGAUUUUUGGCCGCAGAAGCGAUAGCGGGACCGCAAAAGCGAAAAGGACUGUUGGCAGAAGGGUUUAAAGGUUUUAUUUCCUUAUCGAGCUAGGCAUUAUUUUCCUCCAAUGUUGAGCAACCUUGGGAGCUUUUGACGAUAUUGUAAGACAGAUUUGACUGAAAAUAAAAUGGAGGUAAGCUCCUUGGCCUAAUUAUUCAAGUUUAUGGUAGAAUAAACAUGGAAAUUGGUUGAAAUUCAUUAAAAAUGGGUAAAGCUAGGGCUUGAGUUUUAAUAUUUCAAAUUGGAAUUUGAUAGGCAAUUUGAGCUCAUAUUUGGUAAUUCUUGGUAUGUAUGAACUCGUGGCGAGACGAGGAAUCCGGUAAUGUAAGUUUUGUAAUUUUUUGAGAAGCUGUUCCGGGGCUAGGGUUUUGCUAGUCUCGAGAUUUUUGAUAUAUCUUGAUUGUUUUUGAUUGGGUAUUAUUCCCUUGGCAUAGUGUGAUGCGUUCGCUCUGAUUUUGGUUAGAUUCGAUGCACGUGGAGGCCGAUUUGAGGGGCAAAGGUGUCGUGGGCUAGAGAUUUUGCCGGUUCGAGGUGAGAAAUACUUAUAAAUGAUAUCUUGAGGGGUUGAAACCUUGGAUUUGCACAUCAUAAUGCUGUAUCGAGGUGACUUGCACGCCGGAUAUGUGUGUGGGUAUAGCACUGUUGGGGAUUGAGACUCGGUCCGUUCCGAUUGAUGAAAUUACUACGUAUUUUACUGAAAACUACUUGAAUUAUUAUGAUUUAGUUUUUUUGCCAUUUGUAGGGCUUCGUGCCGAUCAUUUGAAUCCUUUGGGGAUUGAUAUCACUGUUUUUGCAUUACUCUGCAUAUUAUUUGAUCUCGAUCCAAAGUUUUAAAUACCAUUUUACAAACUCAGCCCUUUUUCUAAGAUUUGAAAACCUAAACGAUAUUUUACUGAUAUUUUUAGCCGAGAACUGUUAUGUUGAUAUUGCCCAAGUGGCUUAUGUGCAUUUCUGGACUGUGCAUGGAUUGGGUUGUACGCUGCAACAGUGUGAUAUUGAUAUUGCUCUUGGGCUGUAGGAGCCCCUCUGGUGUCUGAACCCCCACAGUGAGCGCGAGUACCUAAAUGGAUCGGGCUGAUCACCGCAGCAGUCAUGUGCAUUGCAUUGUAUUCAUGCAUUGGUUCCUGUUUGUACUACGUGGCAUGACAAUCAGCACUCACAUAUCAUUGGCAUCCAUGUUAUAUAUCUUGCACUGUGUACCAGAUACCCUGGUGUUAUUUGUUAAUAGAGUGUUGUGCCCGAUGGGCUGAUUUAUGUGCGGACUUGCACUACUUGAUAUCGCAAUCAUAUCCUUAACUGUUAAAAAGAAAAGAAAAAGAUAUUUUCAAAAGAGGUUUUAAACUGAGCCAGAUAUUUUUCUAAAGGAUUUUUCCCCGGACUUACUAUUUUCUAAAAGGGUUGUGCUGUCCCAUAUUGCAUGAUGGAGUGCUCUUACAUGAUUUCUUGCCGCUCAGUUAUUAUUUUCUCUUAUUACUUGCUGAGUUGGAGUACUCACUUUACUCCAUGCACCUCGCAUGCAGUUGCAGGUAUUGUUUACCCGGUAACGGGUUACUAGCUGACUGAUGGUAUGGAUAUUGAAGCUCUGCAAGGUGACCGCCAGCAUUUGCGGCACCGAGUUUCUUCCUCUUGAUUUCUAGAUAUUAUUCUAUGCAUUACAGACUUUGUAGUUGUAUUAAUAUUCCUUCUAGAUGCUCGUGACUUGUGACACCCUGAACGGGUUGUGUUGGGUGAUAAAUAUCAAUUAGUAGUGUUAAUAAGUUGUAUUAUUCAUCAGUUUAUGGUUAUUAAUUAUUAAAUAAGGCAUUGUUGUUCUAUUGGCUGGCCUUGUCUUUACGAGAGGCGCCAUCACGACCGGGUUUGGGAAUUGGGUCGUGACAAUUUGGUAUCAGAGCCUAGGUUACUAGUUCUCACGAGUCAUGAGCAGGUUAUUAGAGUAUCGUGAAUCGGUACAGAGGCGUCUGUAUUUAUCCUCGAGAGGCUACAGAACCUUUAGGAAAACUUCCCUUUCUUGGAAUUCUUAUCGUGCGUACUUGAUUCAGCUUGGGAUAUAUAACUCUUGAAAUUCCUCCCUCACGUCUGUAUGCGCGCAUGAGCGCUCAAUGUUAUGCGUACCUUGAUGGUUUGCGAUUCCCCGAUCAAGGGGCGAGAUGUGAUUUCUAUUAGUUGAUGUUGGGAUGGUGAUCAUGCUCAACUACGCCCUCUAAAAAGGACUCUGCGGACACUGUAAAUAUAACCCGAGUAUUAUGCCCAGGGUCAAUCCACAAAGAGUUAACCUAUCAAUCAAAAUCUUUAGACCCACUAAACUCUUUAGAACCAGUUUCCCAAACGUUUGAAUCACAUUUGAUGGUUUCUUUAGUAACUAAUAUUGCAAGUAAAUUAAACAUAUGUAAACUAAAAUUCUAAGGUUGUAAAUAAUGACGAGAAAAAUAUAAGGUGAAGAUUUCCUCUAUUGAUGGAAUCCCUUCUGUUUAUGCUUCAUACAAAUUUACCAACACAUCUCUUUCAAUCAUGAACACUCUUCUUACCGUAAAUCUCUCCAGAAUAAUCACAGUAAUAUACUAUUGCAUUCUUCCGAGAUACACUAGCUAGCUUUAAUUAAUACGGUUCACUUAAGAUUGCACCCAAUGCUUCGUUAUCCCUAAUCUCGUCUUUAAACCAUCAGCUAUAGAUUACUCUUAUACUUCAGGAGUGGUGUUAUUCAACAAUAAUCUAAAUAUGCACUCUAUUCCGAAUUAUGCACACUAAAUAGGUACAACUAAUUGAGGACCCUAUCAAUUAACUAUAAUAAGAACAUAGUUGAAUAAAUAAAGAUUGAAACUAGCAAUUUGUAUUCACAUAAACAAGAAGUUCAUCCCCAAUAGGUUCCAUCAAAAUCUUAGACAAGAAAUGUAGCUACUCAUGGCUAUGGGUAAACAAACUAAAUUAAGAUUCAUCAUAAACAAACAAUAAAAAUCAAAAGAAACGAAGAAAUAUGGUUUGGGUAUUCUCUCACAAUUGUUUUUCCGUUCAAGAACUCUAAAAAUUCAAUACAUGCCUCCUUUGGGCGUAAUCUAUUGACUAAAAUAAGGUUUAGGGCUAAAAAUCCCAUGUUGACACUUCUAUCCCUGAACUUUUCUAUGCCUACCGCGGUUCUGCCACGGUCGCGGUAGAACUGCGGCCAAACAGCCCCUCUGAUUCUCAUUUUAUCCGCAACAACAUCUCACCGCGGUUCUGCCGCGGUCGCGGUGGAACCGCGACAGUACACUUCCUCUAAUUCUUCAGCCUGUUUUUGGCGUGGUUCACUUAGGAAUUUUCACGGUUAGCCUCUUUUUCUUCAUUUUUUGACUCCAAAAGUACUCCCAAGCCUUCUGUAGUCAUAUAUAACCUGCAAAUCACGAAAACCACUCCUAAGAGUAUUUUAUUAUCACUUAUAUUACCAAAACUAUGCAAGAAGGUGGUUAUUUAGGGCGUGAAUAUAGUUAAAUUCACCUAUUAUCAGCCGUUCUGUAGGACUUGAGACCGAAUCUUCGCUUAUGGCUUGAGCACCGAGGUGAAAAUUUUGCGAGCCGGUGUUGUGAACUUAUAUGUUUAGUAUUGUCCCUAAUGGUGGGAAUGGCGCUGGAUAGCUACGUGAUGAGUAUGUUGGUGCUUUCUGGUGUGUCUUUAUGACUUGGAAGUGUCGAAGAAGUUCUGCUAUGUGAUAGAUGGACUAUUAAGUGUUUGAUUUCCAUUGUGAUUGGAUGUGUUGCCCCGAGUUAUGGGUGCGUAAAAGAUCUUUCCAGGCCUCCUAGUGAGAAUGAAGUAAAUUGCAUAUUAUGAUAUGAGUCCGACUCAGGAAGAUUAAAUUGACUGUGUAGCGUAUAUGAUGGUGGAAAGUAUGCCUAAGUUCUAAAUUGAGUCAAAGCAGGUGGGUUAUCUCCUGCGGGUUGUUCUUAAGUGGUAUGAUCUUUAUUCGUAUGUUAGAAGGUCUCAUGUGUACUUGAAGAGUACGUGUUUAAAUUGAGAAUCUGGGGUCACUUAAGAGUGUGUACUCGACUGGUGUGGGGAUGAAUGUGAGACUUGUAGAGGAUUUCAGUACUAGGAUGAUAUGUGUUUUCAUAAAUUAGUAAAUGAUUUGAGUUUAAUCUCACAAUGAUAUGGUAGCAUCAUUAGAGAAAAGGUAUUAUGGGAUAUUGAGUGUGUCCUGAUUUAUGGCUUCGAGCCAAUUUGGGGAGGCUGCUGUUGAUUAGCUAAUUGCACGGUUAUGUGCUAUGUUAGUUCCGUUUCGAGAUAUGCUGGCAGAUCAAUUUAGAUCACAGAAAUUGAGCCGAAGAUGGCACGAAUGAAGCAAAAUACUGACAAAUAUGGUGCUUCAUAGAUGUGAGAAAGUAUUAGGAGGUCUUGAAUUGUUGUUGAUAAAGAAUGCUUAGUGUAUAGAGAAGGAAGAUGGUGAUUUGUAUUGGUAUGAGAUCAUGUUAUGCAGUGUCAGAGUGCUAUAAGACACGAGUGGCUCUAUUCGUUUAGUCAGGUAAUUUGCAAUUGUAUAAGAGUGAGUGACUCUCGAUAAUGGUUUUAUCGUGUUCAAGAAUUUUACAUGUAACGAUCAGGUGUUUUAAGGUUGUGUAUGCGAUUAAAGAUUGUGGUUUUGUUAGAAAAGAUCAAAACUUGUGGUAUUUUAUGUUAAUUAUGGGAUUCUAUGCAUCAAUAUCUGGAAAAUAAAGGUAACAGAGUUGGAUUCACAGGAAGUUCUUCUUAGUAGAAUAUUUUAGGAAUGUUGUGUUUCUGGAAAUAUUUGAGAGAGUAUUCAGUGGCUUGUGGGUCUUAGACAGUGUGGUCUUGUGCUUGGGUACCGUGUAGUGAGCCUGAGUUAAUGAACUGUGGUGCUACAGCAAGAAGGAAUAUCAAGUUGAAAGUGAAUCAGAAGGAAACCUAGAUAAAUGAAGUAGUUUGAUAAUAGACCGAAUCGGUAAGGUAAGGGUAUGAUUAAUUCUUUGUAUGUGUUCGAGGUAAUGAAACUUUUACAGGCAUUUUGGCAGCAAUGCUCUUGAGUUCUGACAGCUUGUUUAGCUUAGUCUAGUAUAAGGAUUCUGUCCUAACAGUUUAGCCUGUGCAAAUGUAAUGAGAGAGAAUUCUUGUUGGGUUUGGAGAUGUAUAUUUUCUAUGGACGUACAGAGCAUGGAGUGUGUAAUGACUUUAUUCUAAGUGGGAUCAAUGAAAGUUCUUGACUAGUUGAGUGCGUGGAUGUCUGUGGUAGGGAAAAAGGAGAUGGAGUUCUCAUGAUUAUCCUAGUGCGGUACGGUAUAUGCGAUAUAUUGAGGAAGAUUGGGAUUUGCGUGUGUAAGGCUUUGGUUCAGAUCAGAAUGGAAAGCUAUUAAAUUCUUAAGCAUCACAGACAGCUGCAUAUGAUUUAAGAAUCGACCUUCAGAUGACUAAGGAAAUGGUAUUACUAUUCUAGUAAUUUGAGGGGGAAUUAUGUUCAGUAAAAAGGGAAGGUGAUGUAACCUGAUAAUAAUUCGAUGGGAUUGUGCCAUUUUCUUGAUUGGAUCGACUGUUGAUGUUUAUGUUUGUUGAUGGCACAUGGAAAUUUUAGAAUAUUUUCGUGGAAUGAUUGGGUACUUGAGAUGUAAUAUGUAUUCAUACGGCGGAAGUUGGGAUCAGGUACAGUGAUUCGUGUGCUAUAUGGAGUUGGAGACUGGGAGUUCCCAUGUUAAGGCUAUGUAGUGGUUGUGGAUCGUGUGUAUUGGUACCGUUAGCAGAUAUUGGAAUUUGGAAGAUCGAGUGGACCUUUCUUUGCUUGGUAUAUUAGAUUUUGGAUAUGAUAUUGGUGUGUAGACUGGUUGUCUCUGUGUUGGGUUAUUCUAGACUAUUGUGUUAUGGCUUAUCUCGAAAAAUGCUACACGUUGCAUGGCGAGGUGCAUCGGACUAUGUUCUAGAAGAAUGGUUGUGUUCCAAAGACCAGCGGACGGCUGAGAAGAAUUGCUUUCCUUAAUUGGGCCUUUGUGACGGAUGUCAGUAUAGAGGUUUCUACCAUUGAUUCAGUUCCGGUAUUGAAGGACCUUUUCGGAUGCGUUCCUUAUGGUUGUGCAUGUUGCCAGGCGAGAUUUUGGAUUUCGGUAUUGAUUUGGUGUCGGCACCGUAUUGUACGACUCCGACAUGAGUUAUAGCAGUGGAAGGAGCAACUUUAGGCUUCUUGGUAAUGAGUUUAUUGGUAAGCUAAUUGGAAACGUGUUUAGCUUGAGUUGGCUUGGUUGGCCCCGGAUUGUAUUGAUGAAGGAUAUGUUGAUUCGAUCGUUAUUGAACCUGCUAGUGAUCUGGGGAGAUCUAUGAGUUGCUUUUCUAUGCUGUGAGGCGCUAUGAUUUUUGAACUGUGGGCACGUAUAGUGUGGUGCUAUCGAGAUUCAUAGUGGAAGUUGAGUUUGUUUUUGUAGCUUAGAAUGCUAUAGAUAUCAUUAUGCACUCAGUAUGCGUACGACCGAUACUCAAUAUUUUUUCAUAAUAAGAAAAUUUGGCUCGAUGUGCAUCUCCUUAUGUGAGACAUUUGUGUGGAUCGGGUGGCACGCCACCACGGGUAUGUUAUCUGAAUCGGGUUGCACGCCACAACUGUCACGACCCAAACCCGGUCAUGAUGGCACCCAGCCCUAAAGCUAGGUAAGUAUGACCAACAAUUGCUUCCAAUUUAAAUACUGAGUCUCAAAACCGACGAUUUAAGAAUAUUAUAGUAAUAUUAGAAUAAUAAUAGAAUAAUAAGGACAAAUACGAAAAAUGAUAAACAUCCAUAAACAAGACUCUACUAAACUGGCUCAUGACUCGCGAGGCCUAGUAACUUAGGCUUUACCAACUUGUCACAACCCAAACCUGGACGUGAUGGCACCCAGCCCUAAAGCUAGGUAAGCCUGACCAACAGUCGCUUCCAAUUUAACAUAUAAGUCUUAAAUUCGACAAUUUAAGAAUAAUAUACUAAUUUUAGAAUAAUUAUCCCAUAAUAAUAAUAGAAUAUUACGAAAUCUAAAUAAUCACUCCCAAAUAUCUGGGGUCACGAGUCUAGAGCCUCUAAACAAAACUGGACAAUAUAUCUGGAUGGAAAUAAUAAAAUCUAGAAUGUAUGUAAUAAUAUUAAAGUGGAAAAAUGAAUAGCAGCCAGGUCCUGUGAACGUCAUGCAGCUACCUCAACGACUCUGGAAAUCUCUGGAGACUAUGAGUUUUAGCUAAGCCUCCGGUGUACCUAAAUCUGCACACAAGGUGCAGGGAGUAGGGGUGAAUACUACCGACUCAGUAAAAAAUAAGCACAGAAAAAUGUCUGAAAGAAAGAAAUCCAUGAAGUGCCACAAAACAAAGCUAAAUCUAACAGUCCUAUUCCUUAGCUACGAACUAACAACAAAACAAUAUCAAAUAUAACAGCCAAGUAUCAUAAAAAAUGCAAUGCAAUGCACAUGAAUACGUUGCGGCAUACAGCCCGAGUCAUCAAUAUUUAUUUAUCGUCGACGGCGCUCACUGGGAUUGUGUAAAGACUCCGGAGGGGCUCCUUCAGCCCAAGCGUAAUAUCAGCUAGGUAUUGGCAUAAAACAGGCUCUUGGCCUCUAUGUCAAUGUAUAUAAUCGCUACGGCGUGUAGCCCGAUCCAAUGUAUAUAAUCGCUACGGCGUGUAGCCCGAUCCAUGCUUAACCCACAGUAUGCAUAGGAGUCACAUAAUAGAUUCAACUUAUUUUUCAGUUUCCAAUUCUUAGGAAGAAUAUAAUUUAAUUAUUUAAUUUUAGGAAAAGUGACUUAGCAUUUCAUUAUGGUGAUUAAACACAUGACAAAGAUCAAUGAUUAUACAAAUCAUGUCAUCACACAGAUAUUUACCCUAGUCAGCUACUACAGGUCGGCACUGUUGGAAACACGUUCUCAAUGCGAUAUACUAAACGUGUAUUCUUUUGUAGGUUUUGAUGNNNNNNNNNNNNNNNNNNNNNNNNNNNNNNNNNNNNNNNNNNNNNNNNNNNNNNNNNNNNNNNNNNNNNNNNNNNNNNNNNNNNNNNNNNNNNNNNNNNNNNNNNNNNNNNNNNNNNNNNNNNNNNNNNNNNNNNNNNNNNNNNNNNNNNNNNNNNNNNNNNNNNNNNNNNNNNNNNNNNNNNNNNNNNNNNNNNNNNNNNNNNNNNNNNNNNNNNNNNNNNNNNNNNNNNNNNNNNNNNNNNNNNNNNNNNNNNNNNNNNNNNNNNNNNNNNNNNNNNNNNNNNNNNNNNNNNNNNNNNNNNNNNNNNNNNNNNNNNNNNNNNNNNNNNNNNNNNNNNNNNNNNNNNNNNNNNNNNNNNNNNNNNNNNNNNNNNNNNNNNNNNNNNNNNNNNNNNNNNNNNNNNNNNNNNNNNNNNNNNNNNNNNNNNNNNNNNNNNNNNNNNNNNNNNNNNNNNNNNNNNNNNNNNNNNNNNNNNNNNNNNNNNNNNNNNNNNNNNNNNNNNNNNNNNNNNNNNNNNNNNNNNNNNNNNNNNNNNNNNNNNNNNNNNNNNNNNNNNNNNNNNNNNNNNNNNNNNNNNNNNNNNNNNNNNNNNNNNNNNNNNNNNNNNNNNNNNNNNNNNNNNNNNNNNNNNNNNNNNNNNNNNNNNNNNNNNNNNNNNNNNNNNNNNNNNNNNNNNNNNNNNNNNNNNNNNNNNNNNNNNNNNNNNNNNNNNNNNNNNNNNNNNNNNNNNNNNNNNNNNNNNNNNNNNNNNNNNNNNNNNNNNNNNNNNNNNNNNNNNNNNNNNNNNNNNNNNNNNNNNNNNNNNNNNNNNNNNNNNNNNNNNNNNNNNNNNNNNNNNNNNNNNNNNNNNNNNNNNNNNNNNNNNNNNNNNNNNNNNNNNNNNNNNNNNNNNNNNNNNNNNNNNNNNNNNNNNNNNNNNNNNNNNNNNNNNNNNNNNNNNNNNNNNNNNNNNNNNNNNNNNNNNNNNNNNNNNNNNNNNNNNNNNNNNNNNNNNNNNNNNNNNNNNNNNNNNNNNNNNNNNNNNNNNNNNNNNNNNNNNNNNNNNNNNNNNNNNNNNNNNNNNNNNNNNNNNNNNNNNNNNNNNNNNNNNNNNNNNNNNNNNNNNNNNNNNNNNNNNNNNNNNNNNNNNNNNNNNNNNNNNNNNNNNNNNNNNNNNNNNNNNNNNNNNNNNNNNNNNNNNNNNNNNNNNNNNNNNNNNNNNNNNNNNNNNNNNNNNNNNNNNNNNNNNNNNNNNNNNNNNNNNNNNNNNNNNNNNNNNNNNNNNNNNNNNNNNNNNNNNNNNNNNNNNNNNNNNNNNNNNNNNNNNNNNNNNNNNNNNNNNNNNNNNNNNNNNNNNNNNNNNNNNNNNNNNNNNNNNNNNNNNNNNNNNNNNNNNNNNNNNNNNNNNNNNNNNNNNNNNNNNNNNNNNNNNNNNNNNNNNNNNNNNNNNNNNNNNNNNNNNNNNNNNNNNNNNNNNNNNNNNNNNNNNNNNNNNNNNNNNNNNNNNNNNNNNNNNNNNNNNNNNNNNNNNNNNNNNNNNNNNNNNNNNNNNNNNNNNNNNNNNNNNNNNNNNNNNNNNNNNNNNNNNNNNNNNNNNNNNNNNNNNNNNNNNNNNNNNNNNNNNNNNNNNNNNNNNNNNNNNNNNNNNNNNNNNNNNNNNNNNNNNNNNNNNNNNNNNNNNNNNNNNNNNNNNNNNNNNNNNNNNNNNNNNNNNNNNNNNNNNNNNNNNNNNNNNNNNNNNNNNNNNNNNNNNNNNNNNNNNNNNNNNNNNNNNNNNNNNNNNNNNNNNNNNNNNNNNNNNNNNNNNNNNNNNNNNNNNNNNNNNNNNNNNNNNNNNNNNNNNNNNNNNNNNNNNNNNNNNNNNNNNNNNNNNNNNNNNNNNNNNNNNNNNNNNNNNNNNNNNNNNNNNNNNNNNNNNNNNNNNNNNNNNNNNNNNNNNNNNNNNNNNNNNNNNNNNNNNNNNNNNNNNNNNNNNNNNNNNNNNNNNNNNNNNNNNNNNNNNNNNNNNNNNNNNNNNNNNNNNNNNNNNNNNNNNNNNNNNNNNNNNNNNNNNNNNNNNNNNNNNNNNNNNNNNNNNNNNNNNNNNNNNNNNNNNNNNNNNNNNNNNNNNNNNNNNNNNNNNNNNNNNNNNNNNNNNNNNNNNNNNNNNNNNNNNNNNNNNNNNNNNNNNNNNNNNNNNNNNNNNNNNNNNNNNNNNNNNNNNNNNNNNNNNNNNNNNNNNNNNNNNNNNNNNNNNNNNNNNNNNNNNNNNNNNNNNNNNNNNNNNNNNNNNNNNNNNNNNNNNNNNNNNNNNNNNNNNNNNNNNNNNNNNNNNNNNNNNNNNNNNNNNNNNNNNNNNNNNNNNNNNNNNNNNNNNNNNNNNNNNNNNNNNNNNNNNNNNNNNNNNNNNNNNNNNNNNNNNNNNNNNNNNNNNNNNNNNNNNNNNNNNNNNUUCUUAGAAGCCUCACACCGGCAUGGCGAUCCAAAGCCGAUGCUAUCCAAGAAUCAAUUGGAGUCUCAAACGUCACCAUCGACGCACUAAGAGGUAAUCCUAAAACCUAUGAAGAAUUAACCUAUAUAGCCGCCCACCCCAUGCCUAAACUAAAACUAGCAGGCGGAUAUAUAUGUAUAAUUCAUGUAUUAUGUGUAUAGCCAUGUUUAAUUAGUGUUAAUCUAUGUAUACCGGCUAGGAAAAGUAAUGGUGAAUCUGGUCGGCUAUUUGUGUAAAGAUCCUUUAAACAAGAAAAAAAUAAAAUCCUUCAUCCAAACACACGCUUGUACUCUUCUUCAUCUUCCUCUUCUCUUUGUGGUGCUGCUACUGAUGUUUUAAAGGGGCUGUGAUGAUUGGCUUAUAUUUCGGGCUUUGUUCAAUCGUGGCAUUGAGAAAAUACUGACCUGUAUCUUGGCGAGGCGACACCGUAUGGCUUUGUAUAGCAAACUGGUGUCCGCAGCCAUGGCGGCAUUGCCUUCUCUUUUGCUUAGUUUAAAUAUGGCAAAUCUGAGCCCUUACAACAACAACAAUAAUCCAGUAUAAUCCCACUUAGUGGGGUCUGGGAGGGUAGUGUGUAUGCAGACCUUACCCCUACCCUUGGGUAGAGAGGCUGUUUCCNNNNNNNNNNNNNNNNNNNNNNNNNNNNNNNNNNNNNNNNNNNNNNNNNNNNNNNNNNNNNNNNNNNNNNNNNNNNNNNNNNNNNNNNNNNNNNNNNNNNNNNNNNNNNNNNNNNNNNNNNNNNNNNNNNNNNNNNNNNNNNNNNNNNNNNNNCAAGAACUUCCCACCUUGCUCUUGGGGAGACUCGAACUCACAACCUCUCGGUUGGAAGUGGGGUUGCUUACCAUCAGAGCAACCCCUCUUGUCUUCAAUGGCCGUUUAAUGUUCUUCAAUGGCGAGUCCAUUAUUCUCUUUUGAGUUUUAACCGAAAGACUCUCGUAAGUCUCAUUUUAAGACUGUAACCGUGACUUUUUAACCGAAAGGACCGUGUAAUUCGUGAUGUAGGAAACUAACCAGUCUCAUUUUAAGACUGUAACCGAGACUUUUUAACCGAAAGGACCGUGUAAUUCCUGAUUUAAGAAACUAACUCUUCCUUCUCUCUUUGUUUUUCUCUCUCACUAUCCCACGGGAAAUUUAUUACAGAGAAAAGAGGGAAAUAGAGCUAGGGAAUUUCAAGGUGAAAAAACCAAAGAAUUUCCCAUAGAAGGAAAAGGUUAGCCCAGAAAUGAAAGAAAUGAGGCAAAACAGAGAGCACUAGGAUUUUCUUUAAAAGGAUGGUUGCAGCCGAGGGUCUAUGCUAAAUAGCCUCUCUUCCUGACACAAGGUAGGGGUAAGGUUUGCGUAAACACCACCCUCCCCUGACCUCACUUGUGGGAUCACACUGGGUAUUAUGUUGUUUAAAAGGGUGGUUGCCGCUGCUAUUCCUACUAUCAAAACAGCCAACAACCCUUUGUUUAUGGGAAAAACUUAUAAUUGGAAGAGAAUUUAACGUAUACACUGACAUCUCUGUCUUUCCUCCGCGCAUGUGUGUGUGUGUUACUGUGUAUUGUUUUUUCAGUGUGGAUAGAAGGUACAUAAAGAGGCAGUGAUGAUGAUGUUGCUAUAUCUGAUCUAACGAAUUUGGGGUGAAGUUAACUUGACCUGUAUCUUUGCAUGGGUAACCCGAUAUGGCAUGUGAUUGAGACUUCUUUCUCUGAUAUGCAACUGGUGUUUGCAGCCAUGGCGUGGCUGGGUUCUCUUUUCUCUAAUCAAUAAAUCUGAGACCCAUUUGCUGAAAAGGAAAAAAAACAAACAUAACCUUUUCCGUGAUUCAAUGUUGGAUAUGUGAACUGUGGCACUUUCUGCUACAAGUUAUCAGUCCAAAAAGAAAUGAUGCAUAACAGAGAGUUGGGGAUUUUCUUUAAUGGGUGGUUACCCCUAUCUGAUCUGCCAUUGAUUUUCGUUUAUUCACAAAACACCAACAGCCCUUGUCAUGGAAAAAACAGAAACAUAAAGAAUACUCCUCCUCCUAGUACUACUACAUAUCUGCCUUUCCUCUAUGUGUGGUGUGUUGUUUUUUAGGUGUCGAUAGAAGGUAUAUAAAGAGGCAAUGAUGAUGAUGUUUAUAUAUCUGGGCUAAUCAAUUAGGCCAUGGUGAUUAUCUGACCUCGUACCUUGGCUUGGCAACUUGGUAUAGCCUGUGUCUGAGUCUUCUCUCUCACAUGCAACCAGUGUUUGCAGCAAUGGCGUGGCUGACUUCUUAUUUGCAUUAUCAUAACACUCAUCUGAGCCGUUAAACAGUGGCCUCAAAUUAUCCUAUUUGUGCAAAUCUUGCUUUUCUUUUAUGGGAUAUGUUCAAUGACUGCAUCGAGAAAAUAUCCGACCCCUAUCUUUUGCUUUGUCGAAAAGGCCCAUGCUAGUCUUUAUUUAAGAAAUUAACCCUUCCUAGGGGAUUUAAAUCUAUCUAUCUAUCUAUAUCUAUACUAUUAUAAAAGCACGGAGGCCAAGCUAAAUGGUAUGGCUUUUUAGCCAAGGCUUUAUCCAGAGACUAGUACAUAGAAAAAAGAGGGAAAAAGAGAACUGGGAAACUUGGAGAUGAAAAAACCACAAUAUUUACCCAAAACGAAUGGUUGGCUCAGAAAGAAAGAAAUGAGGCAAAAUAGAGAGUUUGGGAUGUUCUUUAAAGGGUGGUUGCCCCUCUCUGUUCCCGCCAUUGAUUUUUGUCCAUUAUCAAACAACCAACAACCCUUUGUUUUUAGAAAUAGCAGAAACUGCAAAUAGAAUUUAACUUAUAUAUCCGUGUUUGCGUUUUUUAUGGUGUUGAUGGAAGGUACAUAAAGAGGCAGUGAUGAUGAUGUUUCUAUAUAAGGGCUAACCAACUAGGGCAUAGAGAUUAUCCAACCCGUAUCUUGGCGUGGCAACCCGGUAUGGCCUGUGACUGAGACUUUUCUGUCUCUCAUGCAACCGCUAUUUGCAGCCAUGACGUGGCUGGCUUCUCUUUUGCCUUAUCAUAAGACACAUCUGAGACCCAUUUGCUUGAGAGAAAAAAAACCAGAAUCUUUUCCAUGAUUCAAUGUUGGGAUAUGUCUAACCUGCGACUUUCUACUACAAGUUAUAAAGCAUCUUGCAUUCCUAAUCCAUCACCAUAUUUGUUCAGUAUCAGCUAAGCAUAGCCUAGCAAGAAAGAAGAAUGAGGCAUUAGAGAGAUGGAUUUUCUGUAAAGGGUGGUUGCCCCUCUCUGUUAUGCUUGUGAUUUUUCCAUUCAUAAUCAAAAAUACCAACAGCCCUUUGGAAUAAACAAGAAAAAGAAGAAGGAAAAAUCCGUCAACCAAAGAAACCAGUGUACUCCUCUUCCUCUUCACUCUGUGCUGCUGCUACUGAUGCUGUAAGGGGCUGUGAAGAUUACUUUCCUUUCUGGGAUAUGUUCAAUCUUGUCAUUAAGAAGUUUCGAGUCGUAUCUUGGCAGUGCGGCCUGGUAUGGCUUAUGUAGCAAACUGGUGUCUGCAGUCAUGGCAGCGUCGUGUUCUCUUUUGCUUUGUAAAGUAGAAGUGUCUAAAUGACAAUUCGUGCAAUGUUUGAGGAGCUGCCUAUGUAUUAGGCCUAUCUGAAAUAACAACACAAUACAAUGGUUAACAACCAUCAAAACAAGCUGUUAGGGUUCAUUUGAUUUAGAGACAAGUUAUGCCGGAGGUGGUGAGAAUGGUUGAUGCCUCGAAAGAUGUGUUGAGGAUUUUGCAUAUCUUUCAUUCCCUUCCGAGCUUAGUAAUUGAGCAUUUGAGAUUAUCCGUCCCAUACCUUGGCGGGGCAUGCCCCAGAUUUGGUGGUUUUUGCAGCCAUGGUGUCGUCGGAUCUCUUUUGUUUGAGCUAUAACACACAUCUGAGCCUCAAAAGGGAAAUAUAAAGACGGUGAUUAGUUUGAGUCUGAGACUGCGGUGAGAGCAAAGAGCUUUGGGGAAUUUCAAUGGGUGGUUUUGCCACUCUCUGUCAUUCUCAUUCUACGCUGCUGAUGAUCUAUCAAAUGAAAAACUUUCCAAUUGCAAAACCACCAGUAGUUGAUUGAUUUAUUACUCCUUCGAUUCCAUUUUUCAGAGGCUAUGAAGAAUUGAAGAUUGCUGUUUCUGAAAGAUGAAUCAGAAAUUUUCCUUUGAGCUGAAAAUACUGUUUAGGUGUGUGGGCAAAAUUUGGUUGACAUUGUAAAAGAGUAAUUGUAACUUGGCAUGGCAGCUCAGAUUGGUAUGUGAGAUGUGGAGAGAAACUAUACAUUUUUUAUGUUUCUUCUCCAUCUCCUAAGGCCAACUGAAGCAUGCAGCCAUGAUAGUUAUCUGAGCCUACCCCGUUACCUUGAUUAUUCUAAAAAAAGAGGCUUUUGUGACUCUGAGAAUGCAUGAAUUCUUAAUGGGGUUUCUCUAUUCUCUGUGAGUUUGGAGCAGAUGAAUUCUUUUGUGAUCUACAGCCUUGCACUGCAAAAUACUAUUGAUUGUGGACCAUCUCAUCUAAUAUUUUAAGCUGUUAGAUGGAGAGUACACUUCAUAUUAUAUCUCGACAAUGAUGAUGAUGAUUAUGAUGAUAAAUCAAUCAACUAUAGCUCAUAUAUGAAUCCAUUCAUGUCUAAACCCUAAACCUAAUCAAUGAGGCUGUGAUGAUUUUAUCCAGUAAGCUCGAAAUCUCGGAUGCUGAUUUGUAUCUUGGCUUGGCAAAGUUCAGGGGAAGUUUUGGAAGCUGGUUUUAUUUCCUGUCUUGCAAAAGCUCUGGCCUUAGCAGCCAUGGCAGAUUAGCCUUUUUCUGAUAGUUUUAGGCAAAUCUGAGCCUCAUUUCUUUCUAUCUACCUGCCUAUUUCUUCUACAAUAGUAUAUCCUUUUUUUCUCAUUUUUCUUUAUUUUUGCAUUUCUCCAACAUUGUCAUUUCCUUCUCUUCGCAACAAGAACACUUUUUCUUUAUUUUUUCAUUUCUCCAACAUUGUCAUUUCCGCCUCUUCGCAACUAGAACGCUUCAAUACCAAACAAGCUACUGUCAGAUUUAGGAAUACGUACUAUCCAUCUAUCCCCAUUUGGACGCGUUUCAUUCCAAUAUUCAAUGGUUUGAGGUUUUUUAGUGCUUAGUGAAAAGCAUUUUAAGUUGGCAGGUUCAGUUUUUCCGUUACCGCAUAUCCUAAUGUGGAGCAAUAAUAACUGCCUGUUUAUCACUGGUACAUCUCUUAUGAAGAAGGAUUUGAAUUGGCUACACUUCUGUUAAUUGGUAAAUG
rnacentral:lncRNA from 1 species